GUUGCCAAAGGCAAUAACAUCUGAUUUUAAAAGAGCCAAAAUCUGGGGAGGAGCGUCCUCGAGCCAGUACAUUUCAAGAAAAUUAAAAGCUAACAUAGCUAAUUUAUCAGCCACUAAAUUCCCUUUCCCUCUUUGUGAAACUAAAGGCAGAUUUCUCCUUCUAUUCGUAAGAGAUUCAAAAUCCUUUAGAAUUUCUGCCUGGUAAGAGACAAAUCUUGUCUUCUAUGAUUCUUCCAUGCCAUAUGCAGAAGUUAACUAUUAGUCUCAAAUGUGGUGUUUGAAAAACACAUGUGCCCCAGCGUCUUAAUAUCCCACUUGAAUGUUAUCACUUCUUCAAUAAGAGGAUCGUAGCAAUAUGGAAUAAAGAGGCAGGCUGAAGCCAAAUGGUUACCAGUAUUGUCCCUGAGAAAGAGAGAGACAACUUUUUUGAUAUUUUUCAUUCCUUUCUGCAGAAGGCGAUACAUACCCUUAUAUACUCGCUACUAGGGAACAAGUUCCCAACAAUAAUAACCAAAACGAUAGUGCAAUCCUAACAAAAUUAUUCACCACUACAAAGGCACUACCAGCUACUACGGACUUCAUAUAUGUGGAUGCAUGCUGCAUGGGUCAUAGCUAACCAUGUUGUACAUACUCUAUGUGUUGCCUUCCUUUUGGGUCUCUGUUACGAACAGAAGUUGAUAAUGCUGGGUUCGAGGCCAGCUCCUCCAGAAAUAAAGGGGGGGGGGGAAGAAGAAGAGCAGAGAGGAGAGGAAACUUUGCUAUUUUCAUUCAUGCCUCAUGUUGUUAUUACAUAGUCCUAUAUAUAUUGAAUUCUAUGUAACUAAUUUUGGCAUUUUGUGAUUUCUAGAAUGCUCAGAAUUCAGCAAUUUGGUUAUUCUUGUUUGUUUCUGUUUGCACCUCCUGCACUUUGUUUCUUGCUGCUAUAUGUUUCCCUGUCAUUGUUUCUGCUUGCACCUCCUGCACUUUGUCUGCUGCUAUAUGCUUCCCUAUCACUCCCUACCCCGUCAAAAACACCUUGUCCUCAAGGUGUUAGGCAUUUAAACUACAACCUCCAAAAAUAAUACCAGGAUCCCAUGGUUUAUUUUGACGAACCUGCAAUUCCACAAAGUGCCCGUGAGGAAAGAACAUCACGCGUAAUGGUGUUGGAGCCGUCCGACAAGGUAAGCUCAGAAAGAUCGAUAGUGGAGGUUGGAAGAAGGUGUGGGUACUUCUCCCAUCAGUAAGGAGGACCACUCGAUUACCGGAGAGAAGGUCGGCGGGGCGCAAAUUUCUCGAUGCUAAAUCACCCGAGAAGAAGGUCAAACUAAUUUGGGCCGAAUGGAUCGGGUGCGGGUUGGGUGUGGGUUUUGGGUCCGGGUCAGGUUUGAGUUUUGGGCUAGGGUCAGGUGUGGGUUUUGGGUCUGAGGUCGGGUCAACUGGGUCCGUAUUAAGGCAAUUGGAAUCUUCAUCUUCAGCAACCAGAAGGGAAGCUUUAGAAACGCCGUAAUGCCCUUUAGGGUAUCGUUCGUCACAAGUGAAACACAUCCCACGCUUUCGUCAGAAAGUGGGUUCCUCCGGCGUCAAGCGUUUCACCAUGGGUGGCGGAGAUGGUGGUGAUGGCAAAAGAGGCAGAAUUAUGGUGGAACGAGGGGGUGGGGGUGCGGAUGUGGAGGCAGACGAAGGUCCAUCAUUUGCUGCUCCUGGAGCUUCGCAAGGCCGGCGGCCUGGUCCACAGUCAUGGGCUGAUGGGCCUGGACUGCGCGGCGGAUCUCCGGCCUCAAACCCGAGAUGAAGCAAGGCAAUAGGAAGGGGGCCGACAAGCCGAUAAUUCUAUUAGCCAAGUCUUCAAACUCCUUCAGGUAUGUGAGCACUGAACCCGUCUGAGUGAGUUUGAACAGGGCACCAGUGGGGUCCUCAAACGGUGAUGGGGCGAACCAGGGUUUUGCAGGAACAAAAGUGGUGUGGUGAGAAACCGGUGUGGGUUUGGGCAUGGUGGAGGAAGGCAUAGGAGCAUGGCGGAAGAAACACUGGUCCAGGUUGAGGUUCGUAGAGUGCAUGACAUUGUCAAGAUGAGCAAGGGCCUCGUCGAGGUUGCGGAAGGCCAUGAGGACAAAUGAGAGCACCAAUUGUUACGAACAGAAGUUGAUAAUGCUGGGUUCGAGGCUAGCACCUCCAAAAAUAAAGGGGGGGGGGGGGGAAGAAGAAGAGUAGAGAGGAGAGGAAACUUUGCUAUUUUCAUUCAUGCCUCAUGCUGUUAUUACAUAGUCCUAAUAUAUUGAAUUCUAUGUAACUAAUUUUGGCAUUUUGUGAUUUCAAGAAUGUUCAGAAUUCAGCAAUUUGGUUAUUCUUGUUUGUUUAUGUUUGCACCUCCUGCACUUUGUUUCCUGCUGCUAUAUGCUUCCCUGUCACUGCUUCUGCUUGCACCUCCUGCACUUUGUCUGCUGCUAUAUGCUUCCCCAUCAGUGUCACGCUUUUUUGCUUAUUGCAGACCCCUUGCUUCCUGUAGUCCCAAUUUGGUAUCCCUAUCAAAGACCCUUGCUGUGAAGUCUGGGUUGCUUAAAGCUAUAAUUUCACUCAUCCAAGCAUUGAAAUUUGAAAUGGCAGAGCUCGAAUAUACCCCCACAUUUGAUGCUAACCAUAUUCUCUUGACACCCUCACAGCCAAUCAAAGCAUGAAUCGUUGUUUACUCCUUACCAUGGGCACAUUGGACCAAUAUGCAUUCCCCUUUUGAUCAGGUUUUGUCUCACUCAGAGAAUGUUGUGGCAUGCCCUCCACACAAGGUUUUGGCAUUUUGGUGCAAUAUCAGUUUUCCAAAUCUCUGGACCUAAAUUUCUAGCUAUAGAACUUGUUGAUCCCACCUCAUUUUGCAUCUUUUUCAUCUCACACCGGCAACCGGAUUUGACAUUGUACCUCCCAUCCAUAGAAUGUCGCCAUUUAGCUUGUCUUCCUUUCCCGUUUCAGUCAAAGGAAUGCUGUGAAUUUCUUCCUUAUAUGUGACAGAAAAAGCAUCUUAAUAAGCUCCCCCUUCCAUUGUCUUGCUUCAUCGUUAAUGAGAUCAGCCACUAGCAAAGGAUUUACUUCUUGUGAUUCGUGUGGGACAUGGUAUAAAGAUACAUCUCCACUUUGGAGCCAUUUGUCUUCGUAAAUCCUCCAUAACACUCUUCCUUCAUUAUAUCCUUUGACGCCAUAAUAAUACUAGACCACACAUAACUUGGUCUAUGUCCUCUGGAUGCGUCUAAAGGGUGAAAUCGUGGAUAGUAUUUUGCCUUUAGCACUCGGGCCACCAAUGAAUUUUCAAAACAUAUGAGGCCCCACCAUUGCCUUCUCUUUCCACCCUAUUACUUUCAUCCACACUCUUUAACAAAUUGGAAGACCUAUGAUUUUGAUCUACUUAUGAAUGUGGACAAUCCUAGGUAUUUGUCAUGACUUUCCACUACCUUUACACAAGAAGCCUUGUUAGCUCAUCAAUUCUGGGACUAGGAAGAUUUCGCUUACAUGAGAGUUAUUUCAUAGGACAUCAAAAUAUUCACUAGCCUUUUUGCCUCCUCCACCAUGGCUCUACAGAAAAUCAAAAGCUUAUGUUGCGUUAUAAUUAAUCAUUCUAAGUUUCAUCAAUAAUAGGGGGAAGAAUACACUUUAGCCUGUUAGCAAUAGUUUUUGUAAUAAUCUUAAACAAAACAUUACAAAGGCUAAUAGGUCUAAACUCACUAGCAUGAGAGGGAUUUUUUACCUUUUGGAUAAGAGUCUCAUUUAUCAUAGAAGGGUCUUGGUCGAUCACCAUUCAAAAUAUUCAGGGCCAUGUUUGUGACCUCCUCUCUAAUAAUAUAUGCCAAAACUUCUGAUAGAAUAAAGCUGGAUUGCCAUCUUUCCUGGGAGCUUUGGUGGGGUGCACUACUCUAAAAGGCUUCAUAAAUCUCCUCUCUUGAAAACUCCACAUCCAGAAAGGAUCACAUCUCUCCAUAAUUUCUCCCCUCCACAAGGCUUGCAAUUUCUGUCAUGCCAUGAGGCGGAGAUGUGGUAAAAAGAUCAGAGAAAUGCUUUGUUAAUACCUCACCAAUGUCCUCUGCAUUCCUAUACACAUUUCCAUCAUCAUCCUGAUUCUUCUUUGUGGUAUUGACUUGCUUUCGGUGGGAUGUUUUUCUAUGAAAGAAAGUUGUGUUCCUAUCCACAUACAUCAACCACUCCACCUUCAACCUCUGCUUCCAAAGGACCUCCUCAAGCCUUAAAGGCUCCUCCAACUCACCUUCAAUCUCAACUUUUGUGUUUGUUAAGAAACUGACCUGGGGGCUGUGUUGAAUCUUAAAUAGUUUAUUUCAAAGCCUUUUGAUUUUUUGAGACAAAUUUCCAAACCUUUGUGACCCACACUCAUCUAAAUUCGCCCCUAGCUGGGUAAUAUUUUGUGUAUUUAUGCUAUUAGUAGUUGGAAGAUUCUUUCACUCAAACCUUUUUGUCUUUGAACGCCUUCAUCACAUUGGAAGAUUCUUUCGUAUGAAUCUUUCCCACCAACCAAAAACCUUCAUCUUUACUCCUUUCUCCCACUUCAGGUAUUUUGACUAUCUCCCCCUCCUCCUCGAAAUCAACAUCUUUCAUAUUCUUCAUUUUGUGAAAUUCAAGUAGGCAGAUCUGAGAAAAGACAAGAACAGUUGUCUUGAGAUUUGAGAAAAAUCUUCCUGCUCACAACUAGAGAAACCCUAGCAAAGCCUUCAAAGGGAGAUUAAAACAAUAUAAACAUAAAUUUCAAAUUAACUAAUAUUUAUAAUUAAUUAGAUAUCAAUAAUGAUGGUUAACUGUAUUUUUAGGAAAUCAGCAAGCAAACAUUGUUUAAAGUAGUACAAAAACAAGAGCUUGUUUGUUCAUUGUACAUAUUUAUUUUUUGUUUUUAAAUAACAAAACAAAAUGUUUGAUAAAAGUAAUUUGGGAUAUUUUAAAAAACAAUCUUGGUUUUAGUUUUUAAAAUUGAAAGUGAACAAUAUAUGAUUUUUCUCUUGUGUUAAUUACUCUUAUUCUUGGUUUAAAUACAAUUUUGGUCCACCUAUUUUUUUCAAUCCGUAAUUUUGGUCUAUCUAUUUUAAAAUAAAAAUAUUUCAUUCAUUUAUUUUAAGAAAUUCUCAAUGAAACCGUGAACCUAACGUCUUCAUUUAUGGUACCAUAAAAAUGUGUUAAUUAAUUAAAGUGAAUGAAACAAAUGUAGGCAAAAUUCAAAGAUAUACAGAAGUUAUGAUUUUUUUAAAAAUAAUAGACCAAAUGCCUUUAUUUUAAAAUAGUAUAACCAAAAUUGUAGGUGGACUAAAAUUAUAUUUAAGCAUUUCUUAUUUUUGUUGCUUCAUCUUCAUCUUCCAUUAACUUUAUUUUUUCCCGUUCUAAAUAUUAGGUAUUGACAAAUGUUCGGCAAAAAAGUUUUCAAAACCAAAAAAUAAAAUCAGAAUCAAGCACACUCUAAGAACUAUAAUAGAUUUAUCAUUUUGUCAUAUAUAUUUUAUAGAAAUGUUAGUAAGUACCAUGCAAUGGAUGAACCUAAUGGAGAACAAUAGACGCUUGUACAAUUAUAACUUUUUACUCAAAUUUCUCUUAAAUUUUGAUCCAUAUAUGGACACACCUUUUCUUUGUUUUUAUUAUGUUUUUUAUUAUAGGAAUGAAAGUGAGGCUAUCAAAACUAUUGUUGAAAACGUUACGCGUUUGUUAGACAAGACAGAGUUGUUCGUUGCUGAUAAUCCAGUCGGCGUAGAACCACGAGUCCAGGAAAUGAUUGAACUAAUAGACCAAAAACAAUCAAAUGAUGUUCUACUACUCGGGAUGUGGGGGAUGGGAGGCAUUGGUAAAACGACUAUUGCAAAAGCCAUUUACAAUAAGAUUGGCCGCAAUUUUGAGGGAAAAAGCUUCCUCGCACAUAUUAGGGAAGUUUGGGAGCAAGAUGCUGGUCAAGUAUAUCUACAAGAACAACUUCUAUUUGAUAUCGAAAAAGAAACAAACACAAAGAUGCGUAAUGUUGAAUCAGGAAAAGUUAUGUUAAAAGAACGACUUCGCCAUAAAAGGGUACUUCUUAUACUUGAUGAUGUAAAUAAAUUGCAUCAAUUGAAUGUUUUGUGUGGAAGUCGUGAAUGGUUUGGUUCAGGGAGUAGAAUAAUCAUCACAACUAGAGAUAUGCAUAUACUUAGAGGGAGAAGAGUUGACAAAGUGUUCAGAAUGAAAGGAAUGGAUGAAGACGAAUCUAUUGAGCUUUUUAGUUGGCAUGCAUUUAAGCAAGCAAGUCCAAGAGAAGAUUUUAUUGAACUUUCUAGAAAUGUAGUUGCUUAUUCUGCGGGAUUGCCACUAGCUCUUGAAGUCCUUGGGUCCUAUUUGUUUGAUAUGGAGGUAACAGAGUGGAAGAAUGUAUUGGAGAAACUCAAGAAAAUUCCUAAUGAUGAAGUACAAGAGAAAUUAAAAAUAAGCUAUGAUGGUUUAACUGAUGAUACAGAGAAAGGAAUAUUCCUUGAUAUAGCUUGUUUCUUUAUAGGAAUGGACCGGAAUGAUGCUAUACAUAUAUUAAAUGGUUGUGGGCUUUGUGCAGAAAAUGGAAUACGUGUCUUGGUAGAAAGAAGCCUUGUAACUGUAGAUUAUAAGAACAAGCUUGGAAUGCAUGAUUUGCUGUGAGACAUGGGAAGAGAAAUCAUUCGUUCAAAAACACCAAUGGAGCUUGAGGAGCGUAGUAGGUUAUGGUUUCAUGAAGAUGCGCUUGAUGUAUUAUCAAAAGAAACUGUAAGACUUCCAUCUAUUAUUUUUUUUUAUUUAAAAUAUCCAAAGCUAAUGGAUACAACUAACACAUUUAUGAGUCAGUUCUUAAUAUUCAUUUGUGCGAUUGAUUGUCACAAGAAUUUUGAAAAUUGGUUUGGUUGUGAAUUGGUUUUUGCUUCUUAGCUCCUAAAACAAAUGAUGGGUUUUCUCACAAGAGUUUUAACUACCAUAUAUCUUUUUAGCUACGCAUGUUUUACCCUUUCAUUUUUUCUAUCAUAGGGAACAAAAGCUAUUGAGGGACUGGCUUUGAAGUUACCAAGAACUAAUACAAAAUGUUUGAGCACUAAAGCUUUUAAGGAGAUAAAAAAACUCAGGUUGCUUCAACUUGCUGGUGUACAACUGGUUGGAGAUUUCAAGUAUCUUUCCAAAGAUCUUAGAUGGCUUUGUUGGCAUGGAUUUCCUUUAGCAUGCAUACCAACAAACCUUUAUCAAGGAAGUCUAGUUUCCAUUGAGCUAGAAAACAGCAAUGUUAAUCUUUUGUGGAAAGAAGCCCAGGUAUUAAUUUAGGGUGUGUUUGGUUUGUAUUUUCAUUUUCUGUUUUCAUUUCCUGUUUUCAUUUUUUGAAAACUGUUUUCAUUUUCAAAAGAUUUGAAUUCUGAAAACAUGUUUGGUUUGAUUUCUUGUUUUCUGUUUUCAUGAAAUAAAAAUACUGAAAAUUUAUGAUAUAUUGACUUAUUGUCUUUUUGUAUUUUUAGAUUUGCUUAAAACUACAUUCAUUGUCACCGCAAUUUCAUUUUAACCAAAAUGAAGUUUCUGUUCUCAACUGAAAAUACUGAAAACGAAAAUUUAUUGUUUUCAUUUUCUAGUUGUUUCCUGUUUUCAUUUUCACGGAAAAUAUUUUCAGAAAUCAAACCAAACACAUUUUCAUCACCAUUUUCUGUUUUCAGUGAAAAUGAAAACAGAAAACAACCAAACCAAACACCCCCUUAGUUUUUUGAAAUUCAUUAGUAUUUUUUUCUCUUCUUUAUGGUGUAAUUUAAAUUGUCUCAAAUGUUAAUACUAUUUCACUAUAUAGUGCUUUUAGACAAAUUUCAUCAAUGUUUUUCUCAGCCUCUCUUAUAUUGCAAGUACUUAUGUAAAAGUUUAAGUUUAAAUAAAAAAUUUAAUUAUUAAUAUGCUCCUUUUAUUUAUUUAGAAUAUUUAAUUAGGUCAUUUUAUUUCUGAAAGUUUCAAUCAAGUCUUUUAUUUUUUUUAAAUGUCUCAAUGUGAUAUUUUUUGUCUAAUUGAGACUUACGACGUUAAGUUGCAAACUCCAUGAAAAGAAUCACAUUGAGAUAUUUUUAAAAAAUAAAGAAUUUGAUUGAUAAUUGAAUAUUCUAAAUAAAUAAAGAGAUCAAAUUGAUAAUUAAGUAUAACUAAAAUGAACGUUUAUAUAUUCAUAUUCUAAUACAAGCUCUAGCCUCCCUUUUAUACGGUAAGCCUAAAAUUGGAAAUGAUCAAGAUACCAACAUUUAUUUUUUUCAUAUCCUAAAAUAUCUAAAUGAACAUUUAGCAAAAAAAAAAUUAUGCUAAACCACAAAAAUUGAGGCUAAAUGAACAUUUAGCAAAAAAAAAAUUGUGCUUGAGCCAACACUAAAUAGCGUCAACUAAGUUGACUUAUAGAAAACACUAUUAUGAGUCUAUUUGUAUUUGUGGUAUUUACUAGACGACAUUUAUUAGUGUCAAAUUAGAUUAUGUUAAUUUUAGUGUUGACUUAAUUCGUGCUAAUAGUGUAGGUUAGACCUUGGAAACACAAAUCUAAACCUUGAAGCAUCCCCAUUUUUGUGCUGGCAUAGCUGACACAAAUAAAUUUAUAUGCAAUCUAUAGCGAUUAUUUGACCUGAAUUAAGUCAAUGCUAUGUUACAAUAGAUAGUGUAGGCAUUGUGGUGUUGGUGUUAAAUUUUAUGGCUAUUUUGUUCUUUACUUGUGAUACCACCAUUUAAUGAUGCAUUAGAACUUUAAUUCCAAUGCUAAAGUUUACGAAUAUUUUUCUCUUGUAGUGAUAUCCUCAACAUGCAUAAGCAAUAUAAAAAAGUUGCAUUGCCACAUCAUAUAAAAACUCAAAAUUCUUGAUAAUGAUUGUAUGUAUGAAACUUUGGUAUAACAACAAUAAAGUCUUAUUUUUCAUUAGGUAAGUGUAAAACCUUGAUACAUUAAAUUAAAAGUUUUACCGUCAAUGUAAUUCUAAUUUUUUUUUUAAGAUUAUCUAUUAUCUAAUAAAAUAGAUUUUGUAAGUUUAUUAUGAACUUACAUUAUAGUUUUUUUUUUUUAAAAAAAAACAUAAGAGACGGAGCUUAUUAUGACCUCCUCUUCAAAUAAUUAAAUAUAAUAAAAACAAAGGAGAGGUAAGGUAGGAGUUGCAAUUUUUACUAAUUGAUCAAAGAAGCCAUAAAAUGCUCAUAAAAACUUAUAGGAAAAAUUGCAAAAUUAGUCUUCCACUUUAUCUUUAAUUUCAGAUUUGGUUCCUCAUUUUUUUAAUUCAUGAAUUUGGUCUUCUUGUUUUGUAAAAUCGUGCAAUGUUGGUCCUCCAUGACAUAAUUGGACGUUGACUGUUAGCAAAUGAUAUUGAGUGUCACGUGUCACGUUCUUAUUAGAUAAUAACUAUCACGUGUCAUGUUCUAAUUGGAUGUCAACUACAUAAAAAAUAAAAUGCAUUGUUGUUCUCAAAAGAGUUAUAUAUAUAUAUAUAUAUAUAUAUAUAUAUAUAUAUAUAUAUAUAUAAUGGAAGACUUCAAAAGAAAAAGUAAACCUUUAUCAAAAUAUAUUGGCACUAAGAAAUGGCAUUACACAGGUAUAAAUAUUUCACUUUCUAUUGAGAUGCUCGUAACACAAUGUAAUUGAUUCUAUUUAUGUUUUGAGUUUUAUCUCUAACUUUAAUUAUCUAUUGUUUGCUUUUUUUUUUUGUUGUAGGUAAUGGAGAAGCUGAAAAUUCUUAAUCUCAGUCAUUCUCAUUAUUUAACACAGACUCCACACUUUUCAAAUUUGCCUAAUCUUGAAAAGCUAUUACUCAUAGAUUGUCCAAGGUUGUCCGAGAUUUCCUAUACCAUUGGACAUCUCAAUAAAGUUCUUCUAAUAAAUUUUCAAGAUUGUAUUAGCCUUGGUAAGCUUCCAAGAAGUAUCUAUAAGUUGAAAUCUCUUAAAGCACUCAUUCUUUCAGGAUGUUUAAAGAUUGACAAGUUAGAAGAGGAAUUGGAACAAAUGGAGUCUUUGACAACCCUUAUUGCGGAUAAGACUGCAAUAACAAGAGUGCCAUUUUCAAUAGUUAGAUAAAAAAGAAUUGGAUAUAUCUCUUUGUGCGGCUAUGAAGGAUUCUCACGUGAUGUGUUUCCUUCAAUCAUUUGGUCAUGGAUGUCACCAACAAAUAGUCUCUCAUCCCGCGUUCAAGCAUUUCUAGAUGUGUCAUCUCUCGUUUCUUUAGACGUGCCAAAUAGUAGUUCCAAUCAUCUAUCAUAUAUUUCUAAGGACCUUCCACUGCUUCAAAGUCUUUGUAUAGAGUGUGGCUCAGAACUUCAACUUUCUCUAGAUGCUGCAAAUAUUUUGGAUGCUUUAUAUGCCACAAAUUUUGAAGAACUGGAAUCAACUGCAGCCACAUCGCAAAUGCAUAAUAUGAAUGUUUUAACAUUAAUUGAAUGCAACAAUCAAGUACACAACUUAGGAUAAAAAAAAUUCAGGAGAUCACUUUUAAUUCAAAUGGGAACGAGUUGUCAAGUCACCAAUAUUCUGAAACAGAGAAUUUUACAGGUUUUACCCUUAAUUUCUCUCUUAUGUAUCUAAUUUCCUUAUCUUUUGUCAAUAGAAUUAUUUUUAAUAUAUCAAUUAUAUGUGGAAGUGUAUACUAUUAUACGUUAUAUAUAUAUAUAUAUAUAUAGAAAGUUACGAUACGAGUAUUUAGUAAUUAAAAACUAUCUUCUAAUCAUGUGUUAGUCAAUCUGUCAUUGCGGUAAGAGCACGAAAUCCAACAUAAAUCUGAAUUUUACAUUAGUUAAGUGUAGUACUAGUAACAUCAUUUUUAUAUGUACUUUAUUUCAUCAUUAACUGCUAUCAUAUUCAAAGUGCAUAUUUAAUUUAAUGCUAGGUAAUUUUAAAAUAUAUAUAUAUAUAUAUAUAUAUAUAUAUAUAUACACUUUAAUGCGAGGUACAAUUUAUUAUUGUCACGAUAUAAAAUUCAAUAUUAAAUUGAAAAUGUUCUCUCACUUUUCAUUGUUUUUUCGGUUGGUAUAGAACUAUUUUUUAUUCAUUUUAUGUUUAUUUUGUUACGGGUAUGGAACUCUUACUUGGACCAAUGGAUUUUGUUUAAAUUAUCCAAGCAAAUAUAUUUAUGCAUAACUUUAAAUUUUUUUUUAACAAUUUACUUUUCCUACUUAUGAUUGUUCUGAGUAGUUUUUGCGUAAUCAAGAUUAUAAUUUUAAAUGAUGAGAAAAUGAGUUAUUAUCUUGUUAUAUCUUAAAUUGUUGAAUUAAUUAUAUGGUGGUACUAAUACAUUGAUUGAUAAACUUUUGAGCAUAUAUCUUCAUUUUUACAGAAUAUGGCUACUAGUGAUGGUGGUGGUUGUUUGCUCGCCGGUGAUAGCUAUCCAUAUUGGUUAACCUUCAACAGCGAAGGUUCAUCCAUGACUUUUGAAAUCCCUCAAGUGAAAGGGCGUAACUUGAAGAAAAUGAUGUGCCAUGUCCAUUAUUCUUCCCCGGAAAAUAUAACUUCAGAUGGUUUGAAAAAUUUGUUGGUGAUAAAUCACACAAAGGCCAUCAUUCAACUUUAUAAGAGAAAUGCAUUAGUCUCCUUUGAAGAUGAGGAGUGGCAGGGGGUACUAUCAAAAAUAGAGCCUGGAAACAAAGUGCAAAUUGUUGUUGUCUUCUGGAGCAAAUUAACUGUUUACAAGACAACAAUUUAUCUCAUAUAUGAACCAAUGAAUGAAAAAAUAGAGCAUUCCCGUGCACUAAAUAAGAAUGUAAUGGAUUCUAGUGGUGAUGAAAAUGAAUGUGUUGUUGGGACCAUCUCUCUUCAAGUAGAAUCCAUAUAUAAGCCAACAAAUGACAUAAUGGAGCAUUGCCAUGCAUCAAAUAAGAAUGCAAUUGUUUCCAGCAGUGAUGAAAAUGCAUGUGUUGUCAGGCCGUCCUCUCCUCAAGUGGAAUCCAUAGAUGACUUAAGGUGUGUUUCAAAAAAAGGCUUGAUUAAGCGCUUAUUGAAUAAGUUCUUAUCAUGCGAAUACUUUUGUAAUGCAAACUCAGAAAAUAAGAAAAAUCAAGGUUAAAAGAUGGUGAAAGAAUGUCAGGUCCCAAUUGAUUCUUAUGGUGGCUGCAAAUCUUGUAUUGUUGCUUGUACAGAGAUUGUUUUGGGCAGUGGAUGAUCAGUUUUACAUGUAGAUUGGCGGCUACUAUUAAUGCUCUAAAUCUGAUUGCUAAAGAAUGGAUACUUGGGGAAGGUCCACUUGUUUUGGGAUCUUGGUUUCUAAGGGAGUCCAACUUGAGCUUGAUUCUGAUGCCCUUGAUUUUAAUCCUUUGAAGUGAAAAAGAUAUGUGUAACCCGAAUACUUGACAAUUGAUCAAUCAAAUGAAUAGUAUGCUUAAAUAGAAUUGGCAGGUGGAUCAACUGCGUUUUUAGAGAAGUCAUCAAACAAGUUGAUAACCUUGGCAGUCUAAGUAUGUACCUAUGUGGAUCAUUAAUUUCCUGCGGCAUGAGAUGCAUGACUCCUAUUAUGGUAAUUACGUUAACCGCUUUGCUAGUUAAUUAAUAUUGUUAUGAGAGAUCUUGCUUAGUGUGCGUCUGCUGUAAUUCUUCGAUCUUUUGAAAUUUAAUCUAGUUAUCUUAAAAUAAAUACUUUUUUGUUGAGAUCAUGUAUUGUUUAUUGUUUUGAAUUUGAAUUUAUAUCUAGAAAUUGGGAUUUAUUCAUUUCUUUUUGGCGAGUUUCCACGUGCACAUUGUAGUUUAUUUUCUUUCAAGUUUGGAUUUAUUUCUUUGAAUUGGAUAAGAAUAAAGUGAAGAGAAUAAGGAAUACAAGACCCAAAUUUGGAUUUCUUUUGGAAUAGGGAAAACCAAUUUAUCCUAAUUUUUAGAAUUUUGUUUUUGGAAGAUUUCAAUUUCUACUAAAAGAAAUGAUGUUUGUUUCUGGUUUUACAUACAAGUCGAGUAGAUUUGUUGGGCUCAAAUUAUUAAGUGGUUCUAUUUCUGAGAAGACCGUGUAUGUUAUAUUUACUUGUAGCAUGUUCACGGGGCUCAAAUUUUAUUUGAAUGAAUGACUUCUGUCAUGCAAGUUGUUAUCUACUUGUGCAUGCAUGUAGAAAUAGGUUGGAUUCUUAUUUGAGCUUGAAUUUUUUUGCUUUCUCUGGCAUCUUGUGUAGCGUUGCUCCAAAAUAGAAUACUAUCUAAAUUCUACUAAGAGCAUCAUUAGCUUAAGAUCCCAAAUUAGGAUCUUAGAUCACGAAUAGUACAACGUCACGUACAAGGAGGGUCAGCAUCAUCUAAUGACAUAUCUACAUAUAGAAAUAUAAUAUUAUAACAUAAAUAUUCUAAUAAAAUAGUAUGAUGGAUGAAAAUUAGAUAACUAGCGAACUUUCAUAUGACAACUAAAAUAAAAUAGACUAACAAAGUUUUGAAGUAUUAGAAGAAAAGAAACAUGUCACUAAUAACAAAUAUUAUAACUAACUAACAAAGAUCAACGUCAAAUCCUCUUCAGAAUUGUAAACUUCAAAGUCAUUUUUUAAUUCUUCUUCAUUGUCUUGUUCAAUAUUGUUUGAUUCUCCAUUCAAAUUAGUGGAUUCUUUUUUAUUUGUCAACAUACUAGCAAGGUUUACUUCUUCAACACCACCUUUUAAAUCUUGCAAUUCAGAAACACUUUCAACUUCAAUGACUUCAUUAACAUGUGACAUUUCCUCAUCUUGUACAUGAUUGGAUUCAAUGUAAUCCCUUUGCUUCAGUUUUAAUGCUACACAUCAACCAUGUUUGUCCCAUCUUGUUGCUAGGUAUGACACAUAAUACGCUUGUCUUACAUUAUGUGCACUAAUGAAUAGGUCAACCAAAUUAUAGCUUUUAUGCAUUCAAAUUUCCACUGUACCAUAUUUAAGAACUACCCUUGUUCUUCUACUUGUUGGAUCAAACCAGUGACAAUAAAAUAAUACUACUCACUUAGGAUAGGUUGUAGUAUUAUACUUAAGCUCACAUAUAUGUUGAAUGGUCCCAUAAAAAUCAUCUAGGGCUCCUUCUGUAAGUCCAUUUACGUGAACCCCACUAUUUAUCGUUUUCUUCCCUUCACUCCAUGCUUGAGUAUGGAAUUUGUACCCAUUGACAAAGUAUGUAUGUCAUUCUUUAGCGUAACUCAUGUGAUCAUAUGAUAAAUCCUUUAAGUGUUGAUUUCUCACAUUUGUAUGCUUAUUUAUAACCUACGAAUAUAAAGCAUAUGCACAACUAUAUUUUUUUUUACCAUAAAGUAGCAAAAUAUAAUAUACAAUAACAUGGUUACUUUUUGCUGGAACCAAGUAGGAAAAUUUGCAUGUAGAUUAUGAGUAAAGACAUUUGACUAGGAUUGCAAGAAUGAACUGUCCAAAUAUACUGUUGCAUGAGUCAAUUAUUGGGGGGGGGGGAUAAUGGGAAGAUACAGUCAUAAUUAUUGAAUCCAAAAUGGCAUACAUUAUGAAACUUACUCGAGGUAUGAUUUAACUUCAACACAAUUAAUCAACAGAUGAACAUGGGUCGAGUCUUUCUCAUUGUUAGUUAACCAAUGAAUUAACUCUUUCCCAGAAGAAUGACCUUGCUUGUCAAACACUGAUAACAUCGAUGGGUGCCUUUUAGCUUCAAUUGCAAUAUGAUUCCUAACAUUACAAGGUGACAAAAUAAAGUUGUUGUAAUAAUGAGAACAAAAAUAAGUUGUCUCACAAUACAUGUAAGACACAUAAAUGGAUCCUUCCACCUGGGCCUUAUUUUUCACUGCUCAAUUAGAAUCACCCAUGAAUUCAUAAAUUUUAAAGAAAACCAAGUCACCUUUCAUGAGCAUUAAAAAUGACAUUUAAAGAAAAUACAAUUACCAUUUUAGUACCUUUCAAAUGAAUACAUCCAUCUAUAUUGGACUGGUCCACCAAGUCUAGUUUCAUAUGCCAAAUGAAUAGGCAGAUGCUCCAUUGAAUCAAAAAACCCAAGGGGAAAUAUUCUCUCCAACUUGCACAAAAUUAAUGGAAUCUUUUGUUCCAUUCUACUCAAGUCAUCCUUCAUCAAAGUUGUAGAACAAAAAUCUUUAAAGAAAUAAAUUAUAUUAAUAAGUAGAUUUAAGACAUGUGGCGAAAAUGAGCUAAAAGCAAUAGGAAAAACACUCCAUAAAUACAUGACAAUCAUGAAUUUUCAUCCCAUGCAUGGUUCCCUUAUCAACAUUGGUACAUCUGGUCAAGUUAGAAGAAUAACCAUUUGACAUUCGUAGUUCUUUUAUCCAUUGACAAACUAACUUUGUUUGGUUUGCAGUUAGAAUGUAAUUUGCUUUUGGCUUUAAUAACUUCUCGUUAGCCGUCGACUUCGACUUCAAGUCUUUACGCCUACAAUAAAAAGCUAAGUCCAUCCUAGCCUUGAAACAUCCCUAAUGUUAUGCCAUACUUGUGUAGGUGUCAAUAUAUGUGGUGGCUCAUCUCUUUCUACUUUCCUCUUUUAAAAGGCAUUUUUGUUCCUCCAAAAUGCAUGAUCAGUAGGUAAGAACCUACGAUGACAGUCAAACCAACAAGUUUUUCACUCAUUUGCCAACUGAAAAGGCCUUUGUGUCCUCCAUGCAAUAUGGACAUGCUAGUCUACCAUGUGUCCCCCAACCAGACAACAUCCCAUAAGUAGGAAAAUCAUUAAUAGUCCACAUCAAAGUCUCCCUCGUCGUGAAAUUUUUCUUUCUUGAAACAUCGUAAGUCAUAACACCACUUCAUAAUUUUUUCAGAUCAUCAAUCAAAGGUUGUGAAUAAACAUCAAUACCAAUCGUUGGAUUAAAUGGACUUGGUAUGACACAACUCAAAAACAUAUAUGGUUUAGUUAUACACAUUUCUAAAGGAAGAUUGUAUGGGGUAACAAUGAUUGGCCAACAAGAAUAAGGUGAAGAGGAUGCUUGAAUAUAUGGGUUAAAUCCAUCUGUGCAUAAAUCGAGUCGCACAUGUACCUGAUCAAAGUGCUUCCACGCUUGAGUAUAAUAGCAAAAUCUCCAUGUACUUGAUCAAAGUGCUUCCACACUUCACCAUGAGAUGGAUGGUGUAACAUGCCGGGAGAUCUUCUAUUCUCAUAGUGUCAUGACAUUUGGCUUGUAGUUUGUAUUGAUGCAAAUAGUCUUUGCAACCUUGGCAUCAUUGGAAAAUAAAACAUCACCUUUACCGGACCUGGUUAAUUAUCUGCUGGUUGUUCCAAUAUUCUUGGCACGAUACCUGUGCUCAUUACAAAAUUUUCAUUCGGUUAAUGCUACAUCAAUGUCAUAAUACAACAUGUAGUCAUCCACACAACAAUCAAUCAUCUUAGGCUCCAAUCCCAACUUCGAUACUAGACUCUUUGCAUCAUGAAUUUUUUUUGGUGAACCAUCUUUUAUAGGUGUUGCAUACAAAAGUAUUUUUGAAAUAAACUCCAAGCACUAUUCAGGAACAUUCCAAUUGGACUUGCAAGCUAAAAGCCUCAUGGAUAUUGAUAAUUUUGAGUCUGUUGUCCCUUCGUACAAUGGUUCAUUCGCCUCCACCAAUAAAUUGUAAAAUCUUUAAGUAUCUUCAUUUGGAGAUUCUUCCAUAUUAUUUGAGUUUGGAGCCUCAAAUGUUUAAGGUUGUCUCAGAGCAUCACACAUCAUGUCUUGCAUUAACAUAAAUUUUUCACCUAAAGCCACAUAUUCAACACUAGUAGAAGCAUCCAUGUAACUGUUACUCUCAUUUAAAUCAACAUGCGACAUGUCUUCACCAUGAUCAGUCCAAAUCCAAUAAUCAGACUUGAAACUAUUUUUGUAUAGGUAAAUCUUCACAACUCCAUCCUAAAAAAUCCUAGUACAAUUGCAUUUAACACAUGGGCAUCUAAUCCCCUAUCAUUGUGAAACACUCUUGUUGACUAGCUUUCAUUACAAACUUCGUAACCCCCUCAACAAAAGUCUCUUUCAAACCGCUUCUACCACUAUAACAUCUAUCAUACAUCAUACAACGAAGAUUCCAAAGAAUAUUGUUCACAUUUUGUAUAUUGCAGAAAAAAUAAGAACAUCCAUGUUUUGUCAUACAUAAUCUUAAAGUGAUCUCUAUUAUUAGUAGCUAGAAUUUUAGGUGGAAAAAAAUUGACAUACAUUUAAUGUUUAAGUUUGUAAAUGAACUAAGCAUGAAAUAUAAAUAACAUAAACACAAUCAGAAAUAUACUUAGCACAUUUAAAAUACAAAAUUUCAAGCAACCAAAAUAACAAAAUCAUCAACUAACUUGAAUAAUAGAACGUGUGUACAAGUAAUGAAUCAAUCACUCAACACAAUCUUAACCAUCAACCUAAGAGAAAGAGAGAAAGAAAAAAGUUUAAAAAUCAUUAUCUAUGUAUUUAAAAAAUACAUAUAAAGUAUAUUUAAAAAAUCAUCUAGUCAGUUUUAAACAAAAAAUUGAAAAUUCUUAAUUGAGUCAUAUACUAUUAUAGUCAGACUCUUGAGACUUGUUUCUACCUUGCUAACCAUUGGUUACGAGAAUUGAGGAUUAAUUAAAAAGAGAAGUUAUUCUCAUCAAAGAAAGGUUUUUCUUUAGCUAUUAUUGAAUUUUCAUAUGAUGAUUGUAACAUCCUAUUUUUCGUAAAUCAAUUAAAAAAUUAUUUAUAAAUAAAUAGAGUUUUAAAAAAUGGUGAGUUUUUUAUAAUUAAAUAAAUAAGUAGAAAUAACUUUAUUAAUUAAAAAAAUGGUUUGAGAGAAAAUAAAAAAGGACAUUUUAUAUAUUCAUUUGAUAGGAAAUAAAAUAGAGUUUAUUUUAUAAAAUAAUAAAAAUAAAUAAAUAGAGUAAAUAAUACGCUGAGAGUAGCCUAACUAUAAAUAGAGAUAUGCUAGUCCAGUUUCCAGUGAUACAUCUCUACAUUUUUUUUCCUCUCAAUUUCAUUUUUCCUUCUCCCCCUUCCUAAACCAUCUCCUUUUCCUGCAUACACUCAAAUCUUUCUCAGUAAAACUAUGAUUUCAGACUCAUUAACCGUUAGAUUGUGGUGAAAGUUAAAAACAAGGUUCAUAACUUAUUUCCGCACAGACCCACCGCAAUGGAAGAAAUGUCCCUCGCACUGAGCUUUUCCUUUUCUGAUAGACACCCAAAAUCUAUCCAAGUAAAACUGCUAUCCCAAACUCGUUAACUGUUGGAUCAUCGUGAAAUUUUGACACCACCCUUGUAACAAAUAUUUGCACAGUCUCACUGAUGGGAUUUGCGAAAAAGUGUUUAUGGAGGGAGAAGUUAGUCUCGCACGUUGACAGUAAAAUAGAGGUUACAAUUUCUUCCCAUUCUCUCAUACUUGGAAACCCUAAUGGAACAAAUAGAGGAAAUGAUUGAGGAAUCUAAGGGAAAUGCUAGAGAUGUGAUGCCCUCAACCCCCUCACAUAUAUGUACUAAUAAUAAAAGAAGUAUGAAAUCAAAAUUAAAUAAGUUUAAAAAACACAUUUAAAUACAAGUCUUUCAAAAAGGUAAAAGGCUCAUAUUCACUUUUCUAACAUCAUAAUAAAACUUGUCCAAAUAAAUAAUAAAUCAUCUCAGCUGAAAACAAGACCGUUCUAGACUUCAUACAAUUAAUAUAGAAACCUAUAUUCUAAUGUCACAUCCUAUCAAAGCAUUGUGUCCCGACGUCCUUCCGCACAAGGUUCCUUAAAGCAAUUCACCUAGUCAUCUGCUCCCCCGAACAGAAAGUUCAAGAUCAUCAUAGGAUCCGAACACAAACAACACAGGGAGUGAGUUAUCACAUUCCUAUCUAAUAGGGAAACAAGACAACUAGAUAUACAUAUCAUAUAAAUUAGAUACAACUUACUUCAACAUAACUCAUGUAAUUCCACCACUUUGUCAUUUAAAGUUCACUUUUCAAUCAUCAAUCACACACCCCGAUCAAGACAUAAUAACACACCAAUUUCAUAAUAAACAAUUAGCAAGCGUUAUGAAAUAGUUAUGCUAAGACUCAAGCCUAUAUGUAAUGCGGUACCAUGUCAGUGAAAAACCACCCUGGGGCGCUUCGGAGUACAUAACAAGACACACCACAACAUGGAUAUAUCAGGUUACUCUCACUAAGUAAAAUCAUAGGGAAACCAGUCAGGGUCACGCUGUUUUGCGAUAAUACUCCAACCAUGUGAGAUCAACACCGGCUUAAAGGAUCAUUCAAAUCGGAUGUACCCCCAAGGCCUACACUCCCAAGAGUCUGUUAGGGCCUCUCCCUCCGGAUUUAGGUCCAACCCCUAAAACUAAUUUGCAUGUAGACACUGCUCAUAAAUUAUACAAUACACACGAUCUCACACUCAUGUUUCAAACACGCUCAACACAAUUGAGCUACAAUUUAACACUGGUUCCUAAAUUGGAAGUCUACAUUUUUCCUUUAACACUGCGCAUCGACAUUUUUCUCAAGAUAAACACUGGUCGGAUUAUUGUAUAAUUUACAGCUCACGACACAAGUAAUGUCACAUCAAGUGUUACCCAGACACUUAUUCAUAACCAAAUAUCAUGCCCACAAUUUCACAACUCAUAAUAUCACAAUCCAUCAUCACAUGUUUACAUUUAUAUCAUAGAUUAACACAUGUUCAACUUCGCACUUGUACUAAAUUUCAAUAACAAUAUUAUAAUCCCAAAGCAACAUGUUAUUCCACAAUUCAUCACAAAUUCAAUUUAUAAACACUGCUCAUGAAUUAUACAACACCCACUUUAUAGACACUCCCAAAGCAAAUAGUAUUUUCCUUGCUUGAAAUGUUGGGUGCAAAUAGUAUGUUUGUUGCUUUUGAGAGGUUUAUAUGGAAGACAAUUAUGUGAGGAAGAUGUCAAAUGAAGUGGAUAUAGAGGUUGGCAUGGAUAAUGAUGUUAGAAUAGAUUAAGAUAUUCAUAAACAUUAUGGACAAGAGGCGAGAAAAAUUGUUGAUUGUAGAAAGCAUUCAUAACUACAAUGGUAACUGUUUGUGUUUGUUUUUUUGUUUGUAAUACCUUGAAAAUAUUAUACAUUAGCAUAUUGAUGUUGUAUGUUUUGUAUAUCGAUUGUUGCUAAUCGAGAUGAAUUACUAAAAUAGACUCGGGAUGUUGCAUUUGAAAUAGAUUUUGUUGUUGUUAUUUUGAGGUCAAAUACAUCAAAAUGGCAUCCUGGAUGGAAGACAUUUGUUGUGUUGGGCUGUGAAAGGGGUGGAAACUAUAUCGGCAAUAUAGAAAAGACUUACAAAUUACAAUAAGUGGAACUAGAAAGUAUAAGUGACCCUUUUGGUUGAGGGGAAGACCACUGAAGGAUGGAUAUGUAAGUUAAUUAGUGGGACACAUAAUCAUAAUUUAUCUGAGUCAUUGGUUAGUCAUCUAUAUGUUGGCUGACUAAAUAAUGAAGAGAAGAUGAUGCUUGCUGAUGUGACAAAAUAUGGUAAAGCCCACAAAUAUCAUGUUGACAUUCAAAGAGCACAAUGAAAGAAAUAUGACUACAAUAAAACAAGUAUAUAAUGCAAGGAUUGUGAAUCGUUCAUCUCAAAGAGGUUUUAGAAUGAAAAUGCAACAUUUGAUUAACUUAUUUGAAAAAUAUAUGUAUAUUCAUUUUCAUAGAAUGAAUGAUACUUCAGAAGUUAUGCACGAUAUUUUUUGGACACAUCCUGAUGCUGUGAGAAUGAUUAAUGCAUUUAACAUGAUGUUCUUGAUGGACAAUACCUACAAAACUAACAGAUAUAGACAACCAUUACUUGAGAUUGUGGUGUGAAUCAUAUUGGAAUAGCAUUUUCUGUAACUUUUGUAUAUAUGGAGGCUAAACGGAAGGAUAACUUUGUUUGGGCACUUCAGAAGUUCAAAGGAAUUUUUUUUAGAGUUGAUGGAUUGCCUAAAGUGAUUAUCACUAAAAGAGAUUUAACCUUGAUGAAUGCAUUGAAAUAUAUAUUUCAUGAAGCUAGUAGUUUAUUGUGUCAAUUUCACAUUGACAAAAAUGUGAAAGUAAAAUGAAAGACUUAUGUUGUUCCCAAAGAGGCAUGGGACCAAGUCAUGAAAGCAUGGGGUAGUGUUAAAGAUUUCCCUACUCAGUCUGAGUAUGAGGAGCAUGUCAAGAUGUAGAAAUUGUAUGUUCACCAUGGGAAUACUUUGUCGAGUAUGUGAAAAAUACAUGAUUGAUCCCUUAUAAGGAAUGUUUUGUGGACAUAUAAAGUUAUGCACCUAGAACAAACAACAAGUAUUUUAUGUAAUUAACUUAUUUUAGAAAAGUGUAAUAUAUUGAAACUAAUGUGGAGUUUGUUGAUUAAUAGGAUUGAAUCUGCACAUUUUCACAUUGGAGCUUAAAGAGGUUGAUUCAUAAUAGUAUGGGGGACUUGUGUAAAUAUUGGGAUGCCAUGAAUAACUUGAUCACAUUGCAGCACACUAAAAUUAAAGUCUCAUUUGAGAAAAGUAUUCAUUUCGUGGGUCACAAUCAUAAUAUACAAUUGUAUAAAAGAUUGCACAGAUUCAUUUCAAGGUAUGCUUUUAAUCAUAUCGAAGAGAAAUUGGAUUGAAUUAAGUUUGUUGGUGUUGACAACGAUCAUUGUGGAUGCAUCAUAAGAUAUAUACAUGGUCUUCCUUGUGUAUGUGAACUAGUUAGGUAUAUCAUGAGUAUCAUACCACUUGAUGCAAUUAACAUUUUUUUGGACUUGAUUAAGCUUUGCAUAUAUGGGUUCAAACGAGGCCUAUGCAUAUAUGUUCGUGCAACAAGAGUUUGAUGUUAUAUUAAAAUGCUUUGCAAAGGUUGACAUAGCUGGGAAAGUUACUACAAAAGGUAAAUUUUGUGAAAUAGCAUAUCCUAACAUGACUUCCAUGUGUUCACCAUUUAAUAAGGUAAAAAAAUAUGGGAUCACAAAAAGGACAAGUAAGUAAAUUGGAAAGGUCAACUAAUUGUGAUCCUUCAUACUUUGAACAUGUUGAUGUAUUACAUUCUAUGAAUAUGAAUGACAACUCAUUGAGUUGGAAGCCAUCCAAGGCAUCGGGUCAAAAAGUUAAUUUGACAAAGAUUCACAAAAGAAAUAUUUCCAUGUUAGAUCAAUUUCAUGUGAACCUUCACCCAUAUAUUUUGGACAUUGUUGAUGUUAAGGCCGAUGACCAUUGUGGAUAUCUUCUAGUUGCACUCUUACUUGAUAAAGGUGAAGACGCUUGGCAUAUAGUGCGUAAUAAUUGCUUAAGAAACUUGGUCAGUGGUGGGAUGAGUAUGUCAUUAUAUUUGGUAGUUAUGAGUGUUACGAUGUCAAAGAGAUCUUUACUAGUUGACAAACUUUCUACGGUAAAGUCUAUAAUUUCAUGUUGUUAUUUGCAUGCGUUAAUUUUUUUGUAAAUAUGCAAACAAAAAUGAUAUUAAGCACACAAAUUUAUUUACAAGAACAAAACAGCUAACAAAAAUGAAAAGUUAAUAGUAGUAAAAUAUAAUUACACCAAAUAACUAGGAAAGCAUAAAAGUGAAAUUUCUAUGUUUCCACAAAUAUCGAGUGGUGAAAGCCAAAAUUGAAGUGAAACUUUUUCUUAUAAAUUAAUUGAGUGUUUCUAACUAUAUCUUUUGAAGAAUUACCAUUUUUAUUUAAGUUUUCCUACCUUUAAACUUGUACUUGUAAUUGAAGUUGUCACAAUACUAACUAUCUAUACAAUGAAAAUGAAGCAUGUCUCGUCACUUCCAUUCUAAGAAGCUAUAAGUUUUUAAACUUACUUUUCUAGGUCUCCUAGUGAAAGCCCACAUUGAACUUGGCCCUCUUUUGGCCAAAAUCUCACCAAUAUUAGGCAGCUGUGUUUGGACGGUGUAAGUAUAUAUAUUAGUUCUAGAAGAUGAAUGAUGCAGUGUACUGAUGCCACUGCGUGACCUGCAAGAACUGAGCAUGCCAUGGCGCGGUCUGUCAAGACCCCUAAAUCCUUCCCUGACAAGACUUGAGAAUCUAUCAGUCAUUGUUCUUGAUGGAAACAAAUAUUAUUAUCCCCAGAGCCAGAAACAUUUUUCCAUUUCAAAAAUAUCACCAUCCUAAGUCUUAAUAAUUGUGUGUCGACUGGAACAUUUUCACAUAAGGGUGUGUUUGGUUUGCAUUUUCAUUUUCUGUUUUCAGUUCCUGUUUUCAUUUUCUGAAAACUGUUUUCAUUUUCAAAAGAUUUGAAUUCUGAAAACAUGUUUGGUUUGAUUUCUUGUUUUCUGUUUUCAUGAAAUAAAAAUACUGAAAAUUUAUGAUAUAUUGACUUAUUGUCUUUUUGUAUUUUUAGAUUUGCUUAAAACUACAUUCAUUGUCACCGCAAUUUCAUUUUAACCAAAAUGAGGUUUCUGUUCUCAACUGAAAAUACUGAAAACGAAAAUUUAUUGUUUUCAUUUUCUAGUUGUUUCCUGUUUUCAUUUUCACUGAAAAUGUUUUCAGAAAUCAAACCAAACACAUUUUCAUCACCAUUUUCUGUUUUCAGUGAAAAUGAAAACAGAAAACAACCAAACCAAACACCCCCUAAGAUCUUCAACAUUGGAACAUUGUCGGUUAUUGACACAUCUUGGAGCAACAAUCUCCAUGGUUUCUUGCCUAAAUUUCCAUCCAGCAGAUCUCUCUAUAGCUUAAGUGUAAGUAACACAAACUUGUCUGGAGAAAUUCCAUCCUUUAUUGGUAACAUGAGGAAAUUAUAUGAAUUGAAUCUUUCUAAAUGUGGAUUUAGCGAAACAAUUUUCAGUUCACUGUCAAACCUAACAAAACUUGUCCAAAUUGANNNNNNNNNNNNNNNNNNNNNNNNNNNNNNNNNNNNNNNNNNNNNNNNNNNNNNNNNNNNNNNNNNNNNNNNNNNNNNNNNNNNNNNNNNNNNNNNNNNNAUUUCAUCCAGCAGAUCUCUCUAUAGCUUAAGUGUAAGUAACACAAACUUGUCUGGAGAAAUUCCAUCCUUUAUUGGUAACAUGAGGAAAUUAUAUGAAUUGAAUCUUUCUAAAUGUGGAUUUAGCGAAACAAUUUUCAGUUCACUGUCAAACCUAACAAAACUUGUCCAAAUUGACGUGAGUUAUAACUUUUUUUUACUAGGAGGAUUCCUUCAUCCCUUUCUACACUCCCAACACUGCAAGCAAUUCAACUUUUAGAAAAUGAGUUUAGUUAAUUGGAUGAAAUGGUGAAUUUGACAUCGUCUAGACUAGAGAGCCUUGAUAAAAGUAACAAUAAUCUAUCUGGGAGGAUUCCUAGAUUCCUUUUUACUAUCCGAUCAAUUCAGCUUUUCAAAAAUCAGUUUAGUAAACUAGACAAAAUCAUAAAUGUGUCUUGAUUAUACAGCCUCGAUUUAAGUAGCAAUGAUUUAUUCGGGCCUUUUUCAACAUCUAUCCUCCAACUCAGUACACUUUUUGUCCUCCAUUUUUCUUCAAACCAGUUUAAUGGGUCAGUACAACUGAAUAAGCUUCUUGAGCUUAAAAGUUUAACUGAGCUUGACCUUUCCUGCAACUUGAAAACCUUUCUUGGUUUCUUGAGAAACUUGUAUGCAAUAGUUGUUUUAGAUCUUUCAGCUAACAAGGUUCAAGGAACGGUGCCCCAUUGGAUUUGGCUACUACAUAAUCUUCAAGCCCUUAAUAUUUCCCAUAAUCCGUUCAUUGAUUUUGCAAAAUCUUUCUUUCAUUUUAUUAACCCUUGACCUUCACAACAACAAACUUCAAAAGCAAUUACCUAUUUUUCCUGAACAAGAAAAUUAUUUGGAUUUCUCAAGCAUCAAAUUUAGCUCUUUUAUCACACAAGAUAUUGGUAAUUACCUGUCUCUGACAUCUUUUCUCUCUGUUUCAAACAAUACUUUGGAUGGCAGCAUCCCCAAUUCCAUCUACAUUGUUUCAUCUCUCCAAGUGUUUGAUCUUUCCUUGAAUAACAUUUAUGGAACAAUAAUCUCAUGUUUAAUGAGGAUGAGUGGCACACUUAAAGUAUUAAACUUGAAGAACAACAAUCUCACAGGCCAUAUUCCUGAUGCAAUACCAGCUUCGUGUAGUUUAUGGAUUUUAAAUCUUCAUGGAAAUCUAUUAGUUGGGCCAAUUCCAAAUUCUCUUUCGUGUUGCUUGAAGUUAAAGGUAUUGGACCUUGGAAUAAAUCAAAUUAUUGGUGGCUUUCCAUGCUUUUUGAAGAAAAUAUCCACACUUCGUAUCCUAGUUUUGUGGAAAAACAAAUUUCAAGGCUCCCUAAGAUGUUUGAAAACCAAUAAGGGAAAUGCUUCAAACUGUGGACAUCGCUUUUAAUAAUUUUAGCAGUAAACUACCAGGAAAAUAUUUCACAACCUAGGAAAUAUAUAUAAAGUAUGCUGAACAAGAAACUGAAUCAAAGUUUAUAGAGAAGGGGUUUCAUGCACAAAUGGGUAAUGUAUAUUAUCAAGACAGAGUGACAGUUAUCAACAAAGGCUUACUGUUGGGAUUUUGUGACUCCAACAACAUGUGGUUGAACGAGUCAAAUCAGUUAAAUAAAGACAUGUUCCUAUGCUAUUUCUUAGGAGGAUUUUAUGCAUGGUUUAGUUAAUUAACUUAGCAGAUAUCUCUCAAGUUUGUUUACAUUUCUAUUUUUAAUUUGUAGUAUAAAUAUUUGUUGUUUAUGUGCUCAAUUAAAUUAUCAGUUCCCCUUUCAUCCUCUUGUCUCUUAUACUUUAAAUCCUACAAAUUGGUAUCUAGAGCAAUAAGGUAUCUUACGGGGGAUCUGUGAUAUAACCCACAAACACCUACAACCACCAAAUAGCCACCACACAUAAGAUGGAAUCUGAAACCUCCUUUACUACCAUUUCUGUACCCGUAUUUGAUGGACUAAACUAUCAAAUGUGGGCUGUCAAAAUGGAAGCAUAUCUUGAUGCUAACGAUCUAUGGGAAGCAGUAGAAGAGGACUAUGAAGUUCCUCCUUUGCCAAAUAAUCCCAUUGUUGCCCAAAUGAAAAGUCACAAAGAAAGGAGGCUUCGAAAGUCCAAAGCCAAAUCAAUUUUGUUCACAGUUGUAUCUCCAGUCAUUUUCAACAGAAUAAUGACGAUGAAAACGACACACAAAAUCUGGAAUUUUUUGAAGGAAGAGUAUGAAGGCAUGUGGAGAAAAUCUGCAAGUCAUCACAAAAACAAGAGAAUGUACAAGCUGUUGUUGAAGAGGUGGAUGAAGAAGAACUUUUUGUUGUUUCUUGCUUUGCUACUGCAAGAUCAACAGAAAGUUGGCUAAUUGAUAGUGGUUGCACGAACCACAUGAAUUACGAUAAAGAAUUAUUCAAAGAUCUUGAUGCAACCUACAACACAAAUGUCAGAAUUGGAAACGAAGAAAAAAUAGCAGUGAAGGGCAAAGGAACCAUCGUGAUAGAAGGUUGCACAAGUCUGAAAUUAAUUCCUGAUGUUCUAUACGUGCCUGAAAUUAACCAAAACUUGUUGAGUGUCAGCCAACUUCUAAAGAAAGGCUAUAAAGUUCUAUUUGAAGAUAAAAGUUGCAUGAUUAAAGAUUCAGAUAAUAAAGAAUUAUUCAGAGUUCAAAUGAAAGGCAAAAGCUUUGCCUUGUAUUUGAUUGAUGAAGAGCAGCUUGCUGAGCACAAGGUUGAAGACAACACACUGGUUUGGCAUAAAAGGAUGGGUCAUUUUCAUCAUGGCGCUUUGCUCUAUUUGAGGAAGAAUGACCUUGUACAAGGGCUGCUUGAAUUAGAAGAGAAAUCACCUGUAUGUGUUGCUUGUCAAUAUGGAAAACAAACGAGGUUGCCUUUUCCAAAAGGCAAAUCUUGGAGAGCAACAAGCAAGCUACAGUUAGUAUAUACGGAUGUCGGAGGACCUCAGAAAACCCCAUCUCUGAAUGGUAGUAAGUACUAUAUUGCUUUUAUUGAUUAUUUUUCAAGAAUGUGUUGGAUUUAUUUCAUGAAAAACAAAAAUGAGGUUGCCAGCAUAUUUUACAAGUUUAAAGCAUGGGUUGAAAAUCAAAGUGAAAGAAAAAUGCAGAUAUUAAGAUCUGAUAAUGGUACAAAAUAUACGUCUGAUAAGUUCAGCAAGUUUUGUGAAGAUGCAGGGAUAGAACAUCAAUUGACAGCACCGUAUACCCCACAGCAAAAUGGGGUUGUGGAGCGCAAAAACAGAACGAUCUUGGAAAUGGCGAGAUGUUUACUUCAUGACAAAGAUCUUCCAAAAAAAUUCUGGGCAGAGGCUGCAAGCACUUCUAUUUUUUGCUGAAUAGAUUGCCAACAAAAGCUCUUUCAAAAUCGACCCCAUUUGAGGCUUGGUAUGGUUUCAAACAAAAAUUGAUGAACUUGAAAGUCUUUGGCUUCUUGUGUUUCUCUUAUAUUCCACAGGUUAAAAGAGACAAACUUGACAAAAAGGCGGAAGCGGGAAUCUUUGUAUGCUAUAACUCAACAUCAAAAGCCUAUAGAAUAUUCUUGCCACAAAGUAAUAAAGUUAUUGUUAGUAGAGAUGUGCUAUUCUUUGAAGAAGAAAAAUGGAGCAAGGAAAAUGAGAAGCUUCAAGUUCAGGAGGAGAGCGAAGAAGAUGUGGAUGACCAGCCAGUUAGAGGAACUAGAUCUCUCUCUGAUAUUUAUCAAAGAUGUAAUGUUGCUGUAAUGGAGCCUGUAGACUACAAUGAAGCUGCAACUGAUUCGAAGUGGGUAAAUGCAAUGAAGGAGGAGCUUGAUAUGAUUGAAAAACAUCAAACAUGGGAGCUCACGGAGAAACCUAAAGAUAAAAAUGACAUUGGAGUGAAAUGGGUUUAUAGAACCAAGCUUAAUGCUGAUGGUUUUGUAAACAAACAUAAGGCGAGGCUUGUUGUGAAGGGAUAUGCGCAGAUGUUCGAGGUAGACUUCUCAGAAACUUUUUCUCCGAUUGCCAGGUUGGAUACCAUAAGGUUGUUGUUAGCUCUUGCUGCACAAAAAGGUUGGAUUAUACAUCGCAUGGAUGUUAAAUCAGCCUUUUUGAAUGGGCACUUGGAAGAAGAAAUUUUUGUAGAGCAGCCUGAAGGAUUUGUAGUUCAUGGAUAGGAGGAGAAAGUCUAUUGGCUGAAAAAAGCCUUGUAUGGCUUAAAGCAGGCCCCAAGGUCUUGGUACAGCAAAAUUGAUGCACAUUUGAUAUGCUUAGGCUUUGAAAAAAAGUCUAAGUGAGUUUACCUUGUAUGUCAAGAAGACGGAUGUUGGAAUAGUCAUUGUUUCCUUGUAUGUCGAUGACUUACUUAUGACAGGAAGUUCAAAGGAGCUAAUUGAAGAGUUUAAAGGAGGAAUGAAAGAAGCCUUUGAAAUGACUGAUCUUGGAAAAAUGUCAUUUUUCCUUGGUAUGCAGGUGCAACAAGAUAGAGGUGAAGUCUUUGUAACUCAAGAAAAAUAUGCAAAGGAAAUUCUUAGAAAGUUCAAGAUGGAGGAAUGCAAGCCAAUUGCAACGCCAAUGAAUCAAAAGGAGAAAUUCAGCAAUGAAGAUGGAGCUGAAAAAGUUGAUGAAAAACUGUACAAAAGUUUAAUAGGAUGUCUGAUGUAUUUGAUUGCAACCAGGCCAGACAUUACCUAUGUAGUAAGCUUGUUGUCACGAUAUAUGCAUUGCGCUAGUGAGAUUCAUUUUAAGGCAGCUAAAAGAAUCCUGAGAUAUAUCAAGGGUACUAUUGGUUAUGGAGUGAAGUUUCAGCCAGUAAAAGAUUUCAGUCUUUAUGGAUAUUCAGAUAGUGAUUGGGCUGGGAGUAAUGAUGACAUGAAAAGCACUUCAGGCUAUUGUUUCACAUUUGGUUCUGGAGUUUUUUCAUGGCAUUCAAAGAAGUAAGAUGUCAUAGCACAAUCUAGCGCUGAAGCCGAAUACGUAGCAGCUGUUGCAGCUGCAAAUCAAGCAAUUUGGCUUAGAAAACUUAUGGUUGAUCUACACAUGGACCAAAGGAGAGUACACAGGUUCUUGUUGAUAAUCAAGCUACAAUUUCAAUUUCUAAGAACCCUGUGUUUCAUGGGAAAACAAAACAUUUUAAGAUAAAGUUGUAUUUCCUAAGGGAGGUGCAAAAGCAAGGUGACGUGCAGCUGCUGUAUUGCAAAACUGAAAAUCAACUUGCUGAUUUUUUAACAAAAUCACUUCCUCAAGCAAGAUUUGAGUAUCUUCGACAAAAACUUGGUGUAUGCUGCCAUUGAGUCAAAGAGGAGAUUGUUGGGAUUUUGUGACUCCAACAGCAUGUGGUUGAAGGAGUCAAAUCAGUUAAAUAAAGACAUGUUCCUAUGCUAUUUGCUGUUUAUGCUCAAUAAAAUUAUCAGUUCCCCUUUCAUCCUCUUGUCUCUUAUACUUUAAAUCCUACACUUACAGAUGGAGUUGGUUAAAAAUUUUACAAUCUUCACAUCUAUUGAUUUCUCAUCCAACCAUUUUGAAGGACCUAUACCAAAGGAGCAUAUGGAUUUCAAAGAAAUCUAUAUCUUAUUGUCAAAAACUGCUUUGUCUAGUGAAAUCCCAUCAUCCAUAGGUAACUUGAGACGACUGGAGUCUUUGGACCUUUCACAAAACUCGUAAGGUGGAGAAAUUCCCAUGCAACUUGCAAGUUUGUCAUUUUCUUUUCAUAUUUAAAUCUCUCAUUCAAACAUUUGGUGGGAAGGAUCCCAAUUGGUACCCAAAUUCAGUCAUUUCCAGCUCUUCCUUUGAAGGAAAUGAUAGGCUAUACGGUUUUCCAUUGACUGAAAAUCCAGAAGAUAAAAAGCCAGCAACGCUAACAAAGCUAGAAUGUGAAGACUAACUUGGAAAAUUUACUGGAACUUCGUUAGUGUGGAAUUGGGAAUGAUUUUGGGCCAUUGAAUUUUUUUUUCGCUCUUGAUUUGGAAGCGGUGAAGGGUAUGGUAUUGGCAACUUAUUAACAAGAUUCUUUGUUGGAUCUUUCCUCCGAUGCAUCUAGAAUAUGUAACCAAGAGAGGACAAACCUACGCAAAUUUAAGGUGGCAAGUGUUAGUGAUUAACAAUGAAUGUGCAAGUGAAAUCAUGACACAAUAAAUAUCCCCUUUUUCAAUUUUUUAAAAAUUCAUGUUUUAAUGCUAACAAAAAAAGAAAGAAGAAGUACCAUAUGAGAUGAGGAGAGAGGGAGGAGAAAAAAAAUGAGUGAAUAUUUAAUUACUUAAUCAUAAUUAAUUUAAUAAAUACUUAAAAAUAAGUCCAUGUAGGACCUACUAAAAAUUAUUUAAGAUCCAAAAAUGAAUCUACCACUAAGAACAACUUUAGUGACAAAUCCCAAAUUAGAAUCUUAGACACUAAAGACCCUUAUUCAAGAUUUGGAACUAAAGUUAUUUUGAAGGAAAAAAUGAUAUAGAUCUUUAAUUGUACAUGAUCCUGUAUGAUCCGUCAUGAUUUAAGAUCGCAAGCUGGAAUCUUAGACUAAAGAUGCUCUUAAUAUACUGUAGAUAGUAUUUUAUUUUGGGGCAACACAACACUACAUGAUAGAGAAAGCAAAUAAUUCAAACUCAAAUAAGAAUCCGACCUAUUUCUACUUGCACAAGUAGAAUAACAACCUUGCAUGACACAAGUCAUUCAUUCAAAUAAAAAUAAUUGAAAAGCUAUCAACAAUAAAAUAUUUUUAAAAACAAAAUGUCGUUACCAAAAUAAAUAAGAAAAUAAAAUUACAGUAUUGGAGGGCCACUUUCAUGUGAAAAAAGGGAAACAUAAAAAAGAUCUACAGAGUAUGAAAAUUUAUUUAUCAACAUAAAAUAUAUCUAUGGUGUCAAUCCAAGUUUGCUAAUUAACAAACAAUCAAGGGGCACCAAGUAAAGUGAAAAAGGCAUUACCAGAGAUGGCAAUAAUAUCCAUGUCAAGGAAGUUAGGUUGAAGGAACCAAGAAUCUAGCAUAAACAAUCUUUCCUUUAAUUUGGAAACCAUGUUCAUCCACACGACAUCACUGCGUACGUGCUACAAGUAAAUAUAGCAUAAACAGUCUUCUCAGAAAUAGAACACUUCAUAAUUUGAGCCCAGGAAAUCUACUCCACUUGUAUGGAGAACCAGAAACAAACAUCAUUUCUUUUAGUAGAAAUUGAAAUCUUCUACAAACAAUGUUCUAAAAAUUGGGAUAAAUUGAUUUCCCUAUUCCAAAAGAAAUCCAAAUUUCGGUCUUGUAUUCCAUAUUCUUUUCACUUUAUUCUUUUCCAAUUCAAAGAAAUAAAUCCAAACUUGAAAGAAAAUAAACUACAAUGUUCAUGUGGAAACUCGCCAAAAAGAAAUGAAUAAAUCCUAAUUUCUAGGUAUAAAUUCAAAUUUCAAACAAUAAAAAAUACAUGAUCUCACCAAAAAAUAUAUUUAUUUUAAGAUAACUAGAUUAAAUUUCAAAAGAUCGAAGAAUUACAGCAGACACACACUAAGCAAGAUCUCUCAUAACAGUAUUAACUAGCAAAGCGAUUGAUAGGUGCAGGGGUCUGGCUUCGAGGGCCAGUGCCUCCAAAACUAAGAAAGGAGAAGAGAAUUGUAAUGAAAGAGGAAAGUAUUAUUUCAUAUGCUUGAUUGUUUGAUUACAUAGGUAUUUAUAACAAUUCCUGAUAACAGAUUUUGUACUGGCUUGUGUGCAGGAAUAUUCCUAUAACAAAAUUAGUUUGUAUUUGUCUGGCUAAGAGAGACAAUUCCAAUCAAGCUGGAUAUGGAGUAGUGCUGGCUGGAUAUGCUGAAGCUGUGAUUCAAUCCCUGGCUUACCCUUAUGCGUAAUCAUCCAAGUAUGCGGGCCUUGUCACCUUUCGGUUGGGCUUCUCUACUAUCUGCACCCUCUGUUCAUCCUUGUUGGUAAGUUCCUUCCCUGUCCCUGUGUCUGUGCUUGAGGUCUCUACUGCUCUAUCAUUCCCUGGUCCUUGGAAAAGCACCUUGUCUUCAAGGUGAUAUGUGUCGCACAAUUGCUCCUAAUCUUCCCAAGAGGUGUCGUUCGGGGAUAAUCCUUGCCACUGGACCAGCACUUCCCACGAAGCGGUGUCAUCAUUGGAACGGCGUCGUGAGUCCAUAAUAGAUAUUAGGGUGAUCAUGGGUUGUCCAUCAAUUGCCUGUGUUGGAAGCAAGGUGUCCUGUUGGACGUAAGGGGUCCCGUGACAUGGUUUCAAGACCGAAUAGGGAAACACGGGGUGAAUGCGGUGCACCUUCAGGAAGCUGUAAGCAAUAGGCUACUUCCGCUAAGCGUUCGAGAAUCUUGAAGGGCCAUAAUACCGUUUAGCAAGUUUAUGCCGGAGCAGUGGUAGUUCCUUUAGCAGAGUGUUGACGAUAUGGCCGGAGCUUUAGAAGAACCCAAUCACCAACCUGAUAUAUGACUUCCCGGUGUUUAACAUCUGCAAACUUCUUCAUAUUCUCCUGAGCUUUUUCAAGUUUCCGGCGUAUAGCUUGAAAGGUGGCGUCCCUUUCAGUUAGCAAUUCAUCCACAACGUCCAAUUUGGAAGUGCCCACCACAUAUUCCGAGAAGGAGAAGGAUUUUCGACCGGACGUGAUUUCAUAAGGCGUGGUUCCCGUGGCUACAUUCCAAGAGGAAUUGUUAGACCAUUCAACCCAUGGAAUGAGCUUUCCCCAGGUUCCCGGCCGGUGAUGGACAAAUGCAUGGAGAUACUGUUCUAUCACCCUGUUUAAAACCUCAGUCUGACCAUCACUCUGUGGAUGGUAUGCUGAGCUCAUCUUGAGCAACGUGCCACUGAGACCAAAGAGUUCCUGCCAGAACUUGCUAAUGAAGAGUGGGUCUCGUCGGAUACUAAACUCCGAGGAAGCCCGUGCAAUUUGACCACGAUAUUAACAAACAAAGAAGCGACCAUGUGAGCAGUAUGUGAGGUUGGCAACAAUCCCAAAUGGAUGCCCUUGGAGAACCUAUCGAUGACAACCAGUAUUACGGUGUUACCGUGAUAAGGUGGUAGCCCGACAAUGAAGUCAAGGGAGAGGUCCUCCCAUGGUCGGGCCAGAAUAGGAAGCGGACAGAGCAAGCCGACAAAUUUCUUAGCUUCAUAUUUAGUGACUUGACAAUCCAAGCACUGAGCCACAAAUCGAGCUACAUCGUCCCGAAUUCCAUCCCAAUGAAAAUUUUCUGACAAGCGGGCUAAAGUUUUGGCUACUCCGGCAUGACCCCCAGUAGUGGUAGCAUGAUACUCCAAAAGAAGGGUAGUAAUUAUUGGCAACCCCCGAGUUAACCAAAUUCUUCCCUUAUGCAAAAUGAGACCCUGAGUAAUGAAAAAGAAAGGAUGAUUCGCAGGGGAAGCAAGAAUGAGUUGACGCUUUUGACAAUAUUCAUCAUGAGUGUCCAAUUGCUGGCGUAAGGCAUCGAGAAAAGUCAAACAAGGAACAAAAAGGAGCAUAUGGGCAGUUGCCGACGUAUCUGGUAGACGAGAGAGCGUAUCUGCGGCCUGGUUACUGGAACCUGAGCGAUAUUGGAUGUCAUAAUCAAAGCCCAUCAACCUCGCUAAGUAGAUAUGCUGCUUGGAUGUAUGGAUCACCUGAGUUAAGAGCUCCUUCAAGCUCCUGUGAUCAGUGAGUAUGGUAAAGCAGCGCCCUAAUAGAUAUUGGCGUCAUUUUUUAACUGCUAUCAUAAUGGCACACAAUUCUCGGACAUAUGUGGAGGCGCGAAGAAGCUUGGGAAUGAAGGAUUUUCUAAAAAAAGCAAUAGGGUGUCCAUUCUGGGCCAAAACAACGCCUAUACCACUGUCAGAUGCGUCCGAUUCCACGGUAAAAGGAAUGUCAAAGUUUGGGAGAGCCAACACCGGAGCAUUGGUCAGUGCCAAUUUCAGCUGCUCGAAAACUGUCUAAGCCUGUGGAGUCCAUUGGAAUGGGUCAAUGGUGGUGACUUUGACAAGAGGACCGGCGAUGGAAGCAUAGUUUUUAAUAAACCUUCUAUAAAACCCUACUAAGCUCAAGAAGCUUCUUAAAGCUUUAAUGGAUCGCGGUGUGGGCCACUGCUGGACAACCGCCACCUUGGCAGCCACUGGUGCCUCGCCUGUAUGCGGGACAACAUGUCUGAGAUACUGCACCUGAGGCUGCGCAAAAAAGCAUUUAGAAAACUUUAGGACGAAGUGAUUGGCAAGCAAUACCUAGAAAGUGGUCUCCAGGUGAUGUAAGUGAGCUGUGAACAUGUCGCUAUACACCAAGAUGUCGUCAAAGAAGACGAUAAUGAAUUGCCGUAGAUAAGGUCCAAAGAUAGGGUUCAUGGUCGCUUGAAAUAAAGAGGGGGUGUUGCAGAGCCCGAAAGGCAUGACCUUAAACUCAUAAUGGCCAUGGUGUGUCCUAAACGCCGUUUUUGAAAUGUCGUCGGCAUCCAUACGAAUCUGGUGAUACCCCUGAAGUAAGUCAAGCUUCGAAAAGCAUCGUGCUCCCCUUAAUUCGUCCAAAAGUUCAUCCACCGUAGGAAUGGGGAAACGAUCUUUGACUGUGACGAUGUUUAAAGCGCGAUAAUCCAUGCAAAACCGCCAAGAACCAUCAUGGUUGUGGACUAACAACACCGGCGACGAGAAGGGGCUCGUGCUUGGCUGAAUUAACCCCUUCUGAAGCAUUUGUUCAACUUGUCAUUCAAUCUCGUGUUUUUGAAAGUGGGGAUAUCGAUACGGUCUUACAUUGACCGGAGCUGCUUGGGGCAUUAGGUGGAUAUGGUGAUCAGUCGCACACGCCGGCGGCAAUGUCUGGGGGUCCUGAAACAGCGGUGCAUACUUAGCAAGCAAGGAACGAAUGUUAGGAGGAAGUGUUGAAUCAUGCAAGGGGUCAGAACUAGCCGGAGUCACUGCAAUAUGAAAGCAGUAUCCUUCGCCUUGGCGGCGACAGAGGUGGCGAAGUUGAGGAAACGAGAUCAUACGAAGAAUUCCUUCGCCUCUAUGGUAUUUCUUGUCACAUGUGAAUCAGAGGCCUCAUUCACGGCGUGACACAAUCUCUUUUGAUGACAGUCGUUUGACGGCUGGAGGUGGGAAACGCGUCGGUGCGGCCAAGAGACAAGGGGUUGGUGGUGGGGGGUUGGACGGAGCACACGUGAAAGAAGGAGAUGACAGGGUGGGUCGUGGUCGUGAGGCGUGACGUUGUUCCAGCACUUUUUCCUCCUGAAUACGUGCAAGGCCCACGACUUGCGCUAAGGUGAGUGGCUGAUAAAUCUGGACUUCACGGCGAAUCUUCGGAGAGAGACCUGUGACAAAGCAAGUUAAUAGGAAGGCCUGAGGAAGACCCACCACGCAGUUCGCCAAAUCUUCAAAUUCCUCCAGGUUUGCACUCACAGAACCCCGUUGUGUCAAUUUGAAUAAGGUGCCCAUAGGGUCAUUGUAAGGGGACUGAGCAAAACAGAGUUGUAAUGCUUGAGUGAAAACAGACCAAGAGGUAAGUUGGCCAUUGCUCUACAUCCAUUGGAACUAGGCAAGAGCUCGCCUUUCCAUAUAAAAGGAAGCGAUAAUCAGCCGGUCCGAUGAUGGGGUAUCGUGGUAAUAAAAAAAUUGGUUAAUUUUGAAUAGCCACCCAUUCGGAUUGGAGCUGUCGAAUCGCGAAACAUCUAAUUUGAGUUUGUGAAUUUGUGCAGGGGAGGAUGUGUGUGACUGAGGGACAACAGGGUUGGCUGAUGGCGUGGAUGGGGUCGGAUGGACGAGGGGAACAAUGUGAUGGAUAAGGUUAUCAAUCUUAUCGCCCAGAGAGAGUUGUUGAAUGGAGAGGCGAGUGAGGAGCCAUGUCAAUGAGAGCACCAAAUUGAUAGGUGCAGGGGUCUGGCUUCAAGGGCCAGUGCCUCUAGAACUAAGAAAGGAGAAGAGAAUUGUAAUGAAAGAGGAAAGUAUUAUUUCAUAUGCUUGAUUUUUGAUUACAUAGGUAUUUAUAACAAUUCCUGAUAACAGAUUUUGUACUGGCUUGUGCGCAGGAAUAUUCCUAUAAUAGAAUUAGUUUGUAUUUGUCUGGCUAAGAGAGACAAUUCCAAUCAAGAUGGAUAUGGAGUAGUGCUGGCUGGAUAUGUUGAAGCUGUGAUUCAAUCCCUGGUUUGCGCAGGAAUAUUCCUAUAAUAGAAUUAGUUUGUAUUUGUCUGGCUAAGAGAGACAAUUCCAAUCAAGAUGGAUAUGGAGUAGUGCUGGCUGGAUAUGCUGAAGCUGUGAUUCAAUCCCUGGUUUACCCUUAUGCGUAAUCAUCCAAGUAUGCGGGCCUUGUCACCUUUCAAUUGGGCUUCUCUACUAUCUGCACCCUCUGUUCAUCCUUGUUGGUAAGUUCCUUCCCUGUCCUUGUGUCUGUGCUUGAGGUCUCUGCUGCUCUAUCAACGGUUAACAUAAUUACCAUAAUAGGAGUCAUGCAUCUCAUGCAACAGGAAAUGAUCAACAUAGGUACAUACUUAGAUUGCCAAGGUUAUCAACUUGUUUGAUGACUUCUCUAAAAACGCAGUUGAUCCAACUGCCAAUUCUAUUUAAGCAUACUAUUCAUUUGAUUGAUAAAUUGUCAAGUAUUUGGGUUACACAUAUCUUUUUCACUUCAAAGGAUUAAAAUCAAGGGCAUCACAAUCAAGCUCAAGUUGGACUCCCUUAGAAACAAAGAUCCCAAAACAAGUGGACCUUCCCCAAGUAACCAUUCUUUAGCAAUCAUAUUUAGAGCAUUAAUAGUAGCCACCAAUCUACAUGUAAAACAAAUCAUCCACUGCCCAAAACAAUCUUUGUACAAGCAACAAUACAAGAUUUGCAGCCACCAUAAGAAUCAAUUGGGACCUGACAUUCUUUCACCAUCUUAUAACCUUGAUUUUUCUUAUUUUCUGAGUUUGCAUUACAAAAGUAUUCACAUGAUAAGAACUUAUUCAAUAAGCGCUUAAUCAAGCCUUUUUUUGAAACACACCUUAAGUCAUCUAUGGAUUCCACUUGAGGAGAGAACGGCCUGACAACACAUGCAUUUUCAUCACCGCUGGAAACAAUUGCAUUCUUAUUUGAUGCAUGACAAUGCUCCAUUAUGUCAUUUGUUGGCUUAUAUAUGGAUUCUACUUGAAAAGAGAUGGUCCCAAGAACACAUUCAUUUUCAUCACCACUAGAAUCCAUUACAUUCUUAUUUGGCGCAUGGGAAUGCUAUAUUUUUUCAUUCAUUGGUUCAUAUAUGAGAUAAAUUGUUGUCUUGUAAACAGUUAAUUUGCUCCAGAAGACAACAACAAUUUGCACUUUGUUUCCAGGCUCUAUUUCUUAUAGUACCCCCUGCCACUCCUCAUCUUCAAAGGAGACUAAUGCAUUUCUCUUAUAAAGUUGAAUGAUGGCCUUUGUGUGAUUUAUCACCAACAAAUUUUUCAAACCAUAUGAAGUUAUAUUUUCUGGGGAAGAAUAAUGGACAUGGCACAUCAUUUUCUUCAAUUUACGCCCCUUCACUUGAGGGAUUUCAAAAGUCACGGAUGAACCUUCGCUGUUGAAGAUUAACCAAUCUGGAUAGCUAUCACCGGGGAGCAAACAACCACCACCAUCACUAGUAGCCAUAUUCUGUAAAAAUGAAGAUAUAUGCUCAAAAGUUUAUCAAUCAAUGUAUUAGUACCACUGUCAUACCCUAAUUUCGUCCGGGGAUUAUAACUAGAUGACAUGCAACCUUUGAUUGGCCGCUUCGAGAUACUUGGCACCCUUUGUUGCACAAUAUGUAAAGUCCCGAGACGCGCCGGAAAUCAAAAGAAAGCAUGGUUACGCGAUCCGUGAAAUUCCGUAAUGUGGCGGAAACCAAAAUGAGGUGUUGUUACGCAAUCUAUGAGUUUCCGUAACUUCUUCGAAAGCUAAAAAAGAAUAAAUACAUGAUCCGUAAGGUUCCGUAGCCUUAUGGAAAGAAAAUAAGUAUCGUUACAAAAUUCGUAAAGUUUCGUAACGUUACGGAAAAAGAAUCACCAAAAAAGCAAAGGGGGUGCAAAUAGAAAUCAGGCCCACUCGGGCCUUCCAGAUUCUUCCUCCAAAAGGCGGUUGCUUCUGGAGGAAGCAACCUGGCUCGCCUAGGCGAGCUGAGCUCGCUUGGGCGAGCUGGGUGGCAAGCUCCUCCCCUAUUUUGCUAUAAAUAGGGGGAGGAAUGAAGAAGGAAGGGGUUCAGCCUUCUUGGCACUUCGUAUUCUCUUGAAAUUGCUGAGAAAAAUUGUUUCCGUGAAGAAAAUCCAAGCCGAAGCGCUUCCGUAACGUUUCCGUGGGUAAUUACGCGAAGAUUUCCAACCGUUCUUCGACAUUCAUCAUUCGUUCUUCUUUUUCUUCGGUCUUCAACUGGUAAGUACCCCAAACCGAGCUUUUCAAUUCAUUCUAUGUACAUGUGUUGGUCCUCAUUUGUUUCAUUUACUUUUAUUCUCGUUUUCAUUUACUUCCCGUACCCCCUUUUAACGUGCUUCAGUCAUUUAUUUAAGUCAUUUCUCGCCUAAUCUAAAAAUAAAAUAAAUUUCCACCGAUCAUUUGAAUUGUAAUAUCCGUUAAUUUUUGUUAAAAUGAAUUCCGACCAUUCGGUCGUGCCGUAACCACGUUGGAAAUCGAAAAAGGGGUAAAAUAAUAAUAUAAUAAUAAAAAAAUACCUUUUAGUAAAAUGAAGCAAAAAAUCAAUCGGACGUUUUCUCUUUGGGAUUUCUCAUUCUUAAUUGAAUUGACUAAUAACUAAAGUGAAACUAAGGUUAAAAUCAAUUCGUCCAGUCAAGCUCGUCCACAAAAAAUCAUUAAAAAAGGGAUUUGAAAGUUUAUUAUCUCAGUCUUUCUUACCAAGUAAAUGGAUCAUGUUUAAGGUCCAACGCCUUAAAAUGAUCACCUUCCAAGUAAAAAGAGUAGCUUGAUUCACCCUAAAAAAGAACUACGUAGGUCUGAUUUUCUCUUCAAUGGAGGGUACGUAGGAGCAAGAGUCCCGCUUUUGUCGACCUCAAAAAUAAAAAGGAAAUAAAAGUUAAGAUAACACAAUUUCACAAUUCUAAAAAAUAGGUUGUUGUCCUUUGAGACAAACGUGAGAGGUGCUAAUACCUUCCUCAAACUUAAAUACAACUUCCGAACUUAGAAUUUUCGUUUCGACCGGUUUCCUUCGAUUUUUCCGACGUUUUCCACAAAUAAACAUUGGUGGCGACUUCGCGCAUCUUUCCUCCUUUGGAAAGCGCACCCGUGAGCCUCGCCUUCGCUCGCCCGCAAAAGGACAUGUUGCGACAACCACCAUAUAAUUAAUUCAUCAAUUUAAGAUAUAACAAGAUAAUAACUCAUUUUCUCGUCAUUUAAAAUUAUGAUCUUGAUUACCCAAAAACUACAUGAAAAGUAAAUUGUUAAAAAUUAAUUUAAAGUUAUGCAUAAAUAUAUUUGCUUGGAUAAUUUAAACAAAAUCCAUUGGUCCAAGAGUUCCAUACCCGUAACAAAAUAAACAUAAAAUGAAUAAAAAAUAGUUCUAUACCAACCGAAAAAACAAUGAAAAGUGAGAGAACAUUUUCAAUUUAAUAUUGAAUUUUAUAUCGUGACAAUAAUAAAUUGUAACUCGCAUUAAAGUAUAAUAAAUUCGGAUUUAUGUUGGAUUUCGUGCUCUUACCGUAAUGUCGACAGAUUGACUAACACAUGAUUAGAAGAUAGUUUUAAUUACUAAAUACUGAUAUUGCAUCUUUCUUUCUUAAUUGGGAAUUACUAGCAAAAUGUUCCCUUCAGCAAGACUUUAUUUUUUAAUUUGUCCUUCUAGGUAUAACUAAUUCCUAAACACAAUUUAUAUCGUGACAAUAAUAAAUUGUACCUCGCAUUAAAGUAUAAUAAAUUUGGAUUUAUGUUGGAUUUCGUGCAUCUUUCUUUCUAAAUUGGGAAUUACUAGCAAAAUGUUCCUUUCAGCAAGACUUUAUUUUUUAAUUUGUCCUUCUAUAUAGAUAUGACACCUUCUCAUAGCGAAAUAUAUGGGGUGUCAAAAAAAAAUAUGUGGGUGUGUGAGCUCUUUAAAAAGACAUAUAUAUAUAUAUAUAUAUAUAUAUAUAUAUAUAUAUAUAUAUAUAUAUAUAUAUAUAUAUAUAUAUAUAUAUAUAUAUAUCGAUUUUCUAACACUCACGGUUGUUUUGUUUUUUAUUGGUAUGAGUGUGUUAAAAAGCUAUAUCACUGAUGUAUUUUAAGACACACUCACUAGUUAUAACUUGCUAACUCACUCAUAUUAAAAAAAAUAGAAGUGUGUAUAUUAAUCAAUUCAACAAGUAUUUAAUAACACACAUCUUUUUUUUUUUAUAAAAGUACAUUAGCAAGACCAAGACCAAUAUAUAUAUAUAUAUAUAUAUAUAUAUAUAUAUAUAUAUAUAUAUAUAUAUAUAUAUAUAUAUAUAUAUAUAUAACUCCUUUGAGAAUAUGAAAAUAAUUAAUAACAAUCACUAUAUUAUAAUUAAAAAUAAUAGAUAGUUGAGAUUAAAGUAUUUUAAAAUUAAAAUUAAAAUCUAAUAUAACCAUUAGAUCUUUAAAAAAAUUACGUUUUAAAAUAUCUCAAUUAUCAUUAACAAUAAUUGAAAUAUUGUAGGAUGUGACUUGUUUGAUAGUUCUUGUAGAAAUUCAACGGUUGUAUCAUAUUUUAAUUUUAAUUUUUACAUUUUUUUAAUCUCAAUCAUUUAUUAUUUUUAAUCAUAUUUUAAUAAUUAUUAUUAAUUAUUCUCACGUAAGAAAUUAUUCUAAGAGGAGUUGGGCUCUCUCUCUAUAUAAGUUGUUUAUGAGCAUUUUAUGGCUUAUUUGAUCAAUUAGUAAAAAUUGCAAUUCCUACCUUACCUCUCCUUUGUUUUUAUUUUAUUUAAUUAUUUGAAGAGGAGGUCAUAAGCUACGUCUCUUAUGUUUUUUUUUCUUAAAAAAAAAAACAAACUAUAACGUAAGUUCAUAAUAAACAUACAAAAUCUAUUUGAUUAGAUAAUAGAUAAUCUUAAAAAAAAUGAAUUUUGAAUUACAUUGAGUUUAAAAUUUUUAAUUUAAUGUAUAAGGUUUAACUCUUUCUUAAUGAAAUAAGACUUUAUUGUUGUUAUACCAAAGUUUCAUACAUACAAUCAUUAUGAAGAAUUUUAAGUUUUUAUAUGAUGUGGUAAUGCGAUUUUUUUAUAUUGCUUAUGUAUGUUGAGGAUAUCACUACAAGAGCAAAAUAUUCAUAAACUUUAGCAUUGGAAUUAAAGUUCUAAUGCAUCAUUAAAUGGUGGUAUCACAAGUAAAGAACAAAAUAGCCAUAAAAUUUAACACCAACACUACAAUGCCGACACUAUUUAUUGUAACACAGCAUUGACUUAAUUCAGGUCAAAUAAUCGCUAUAGAUUGCGUAUAAAUUUAUUUGUGUCAGCUAUGCCAACACAAAAAUGGGGAUACUUCAAGGUUUAGAUUUGUGCAUGGUCUAACCUACACUAUUAGCACCAAUUAAGUCAACACUAAAAUUAACAUAAUCUAAUUUGACACUAAUAAAUGUCGUCUAGUAAAUACAAUAAAUACAAAUAGACUCAUAAUAGUGUCUUCUAUAAGUCAACUUAGUUGACACUAUUUAGUGUUGGCUCAAGCACAAUUUUUUUUUACUAAAUGUUCAUUUAGCCUCAAUUUUUGUGGUUUAGCAUCAUUUUUUUUGCUAAAUGUUCAUUUAGAUAUUUUAGGAUAUGAAAAAAAUAAAUGUUUGCAUCUUGAUCAUUUUCUUUUCUAGGUUUACUAGGUUUACCGUAUAUUUAAGGAGGGAAUUUGAGUUUCAAAGGAUGAAAGAGUCAGAGACAAUAAAAAAAUAUAAACUCAAACAAAUUGUUGGGUAUUACCAAUAAGAUAAAGUUGUUGGGAAGUAAUUUUACUGAUUCGAGAAUUGUAGAGAAAAUUUUGGUAACAGUGUUGGAGAGGUAUGAAGCAUUUAUAGCUUCAUUGGAGAACACAAAGGAUCUGUCGAAAAUCACAUUGACAGAAGUGCUACAUGCCCUGCAAACUCAAGAGCAGCGAAGGUUGAUGGGGUAAGAUCGUGUUGUCGAAGGUGCUUUGCCCGUCAAACAUCAUGAAGUUGAUGAAAGCAAAAAGAAUUUUUUCAAGAAGAAUCAGCCAGCAAGUAGCGAAAAUAGUGCAAACAACCAAAACAAAGGUAAGGAUAAAAAGAAAAAUUAUCCACCUUGUCAGCAUUGCGAAAAAUUAGGUCACCCACCAUACAAAUGUUGGAAACGGUCAGACGCAAAAUGCAGCAAGUGCAAUCAACUUGGACAUGAAGCUAUAAUUUGUAAAAGCAAAUUUCAGUAGCAAGAAGCCGAUGCCCAAGUUGUUGAGCAGGAGGAAGAAGAUUAUAUUUUUGCUGCAACAUGCUAUUCGAUAAUUAAAUCUUUUAUUUAAACUUAAACUUUUACAUAAAGUACUUGCAAUAUAAGAGAGGCUGAGAAAAACAUAGAUGAAAUUUGUCUAAAAGUACUAUAUAGUGAAAUAAUAUUAAUAUUUGAGACAAUUUAAAUUAAAUCCAUAAAGAAGAAGAGAAAAAUAUGCUCAUGAAUUGCAAAAAACUAAAUUAAUACCUGGGCUUCUUUCCACAAAAGAUUAACAUUGUUGUUUUCUAGCUCAAUGGAAACUAGACUUCCUUGAUAAAGGUUUGUUGGUAUGCAAGCUAAAGGAAAUCCAUGCCAACAAAGCCAUCUAAGAUCUUUGGAAAGAUACUUGAAAUCUCCAACCAGUUGUACACCAGCAAGUUGAAGCAACCUGAGUUUUUUCAUCUCCUUAAAAGCUUUAGUGCUCAAACAUUUUGUAUUAUUUAUUGGUAACUUCAAAGCCAGUCCCUCAAUAGCUUUUGUUCCCUAUGAUAGAAAAAACAAAAGGGUAAAAAAUGCGUAGCUAAAAACAUAUAUGGUAGUUAAAACUCUUGUGAGAAAACCCGUCAUUUGUUUUAGGAGCUAAGAAGCAAAAACCAAUUCACAACCAAAACAAUUUUCAAAAUUCUUGUGACAAUCAAUCGCACAAAUGAAUAUUAAGAACUGACUCAUAAAUGUGUUAGUUGUAUCCAUUAGCUUUGGAUAUUUUAAAUAAAAAAAAUAAUAGAUGGAAGUCUUACAGUUUCUUUUGAUAAUACAUGAUAGGCCUCGUAGUGCUUACUGGAUUCGAGGGACCAGCUCCUCCCAGAAAAGGGGUUGAGGAUGAGAGAAAAGCACAAGAAAAGAGAGGUAAUUGUAUGCUUCUUAUUAUCUUGCUUGUUAUUACAUAGCAUAUAUAUAAGGUUCCUAAUAACAGAAUUUGUGCAUAUGAUUGCCUAGGAAUAUUUCCAUAUCAGAAUUGGUUAUGCUUGUCCCCCUGAGGUGGACCAUUACAAAUCAAGCAAGAUUGCAUUGCAUUGUUGGCUUUGUCCUUUUCUUCAGAGGUAAUCCCUGAGGUAUGUAGGCUUGGUGAUCCUUCUUUUGGGCUUGUGCACCCCUACUCUUGCUGUUGUGUUCACUGUCUGCUUGUUGAUUGUCUUUGCUGCCCCUGUUUCUGUAUCAAUACAUCAAGCGCAUCUUCAUGAAACCAUAACCUACUAUGCUCCUCAAGCUCCAUUGGUGUUUUUGAACGAAUGAUUUCUCUUCCCAUGUCUCGCAGCAAAUCAUGCAUUCUAAGCUUGUUCUUAUAAUCUACAGUUACAAGGCUUCUUUCUACCAAGACAUGUAUUCCAUUUUCUGCACAAAGCCCACAACCAUUUAAGAUAUGUAUAACAUCAUUCCGGUCCAUUCCUAUAAAGAAACAAGCUAUAUCAAGGAAUAUUCCUUUCUCUGUAUCAUCAGUUAAACCAUCAUAGCUUAUUUUUAAUUUCUCUUGUACUUCAUCAUUAGGAAUUUUCUUGAGUUUCUCCAAUACAUUCUUCCACUCUGUAACCUCCAUAUCAAACAAAUAGGACCCAAGGACUUCAAGAGCUAGUGGCAAUCCCGCAGAAUAAGCAACUAUAUUUCUAGAAAGUCCAAUAAAAUUUUCUCUUGGACUUGCUUGCUUAAAUGCAUGCCAACUAAAAAGCUCAAUAGAUUCAUCUUCAUCCAUUCCUAUCAUUCUGAACACUUUGUCAACUCUUCUCCCUCUAAGUAUAUGCAUAUCUCUAGUUGUGAUGAUUAUUCUACUCCCUGAACCAAACCAUUCACGACUUUCACACAAAACAUUCAAUUGAUGCAAUUUAUUUACAUCAUCAAGUAUAAGAAGUACCCUUUUAUGGCGAAGUCGUUCUUUUAACAUAACUUUUCCUGAUUCAACAUUACGUAUCUUUGUGUUUGUUUCUUUUUCGAUAUCAAAUAGAAGUUGUUCUUGUAGAUAUACUUGACCAGCAUCUUGCUCCCAAACUUCCCUAAUAUGUGCGAGGAAGCUUUCUCCCUCAAAAUUGUGGCCAAUCUUAUUGUAAAUGGCUUUUUCAAUAGUCAUUUUACCGAUGCCUCCCAUCCCCCACAUCCCGAGUAGUAGAACAUCAUUUGAUUGUUUUUGGUCUAUUAGUUCAAUCAUUUCCUGGACUCGUGGUUCUACGUCGACUGGAUUAUCAGCAAUGAACAACUCUGUCUUGUCUAACAAACGCAUAACAUUUUCAACAAUAGUUUUGAUAGCCUCACUUUCAUUCCUAUAAUAAAACACAUAAUAAAAACAAAGAAAAGGUGUGUCCAUAUAUGCAUCAAAAUUUAAGAGAAAUUUGAGUAAAAAGUUAUAAUUGUACAAGCGUCUGUUGUUCUCCAUUAGGUUCAUCCACUGCAUGGUACUUACUAACAUUUAUGUAAUAGUUCUUAGAGUGUGUCUUAUUCUAAUUUUAUUUUUUGGUUUUGAAAACUUUUUUGCCGAACAUUUGUCAAUACCUAAGACUUAGAAUGGGAAAAAAUAAGUUACUGUUGGAUCAAGUGGCCUCAGAAUAAUUAAGAAGGGGGGUUGAAUUAAUUAUUCCUAAACCUUUACUAAUUAAAAAUUUGCUCUUCUAAGGCUUUUACUAUGUUGUUAAGUAAAUAAAGGAUAGAAAAGAAACUUAACCAAAAGUAAAAGCAGGAAUUAAAGUGCACAGCGGAAAUUAAAAGAGUAGGGAUGAAAGAGACAAACACACAAGAGUUUUUGUACUGGUUCGGCAACAACCCGUGCCUACAUCCAGUCCCCAAGCGACCUGCGGUCCUUGAGAUUUCUUUUCAACCUUGUAAAAUUCCUUUACAAGCAAAGAUCCACAAGGGAUGUACCCUCCCUUGUGCUCCUUGAACAAUCUAGUGGAUGUACCCUCCACUAGAACUGAUCCACAAGAGAUGUACCCUCUCUUGUUCUCAGUCAACAACCCAAGUAGAUGUACCAUCUACUUGUACCACAAAGGAUGUACCCUCCAAUGUGUUAAGACAAAGUUCUUAGGCGGUUAAACCUUUGAAACUUUGUGAAUGGGGAUACAAAAGAAUUCUCAUGCGGUUAGUCCUUUGAAAUCUUUUGUAUAUGGGAAAGGGAAGAAUCAAAAGAAUUCUCAAACUGUGUCAUUUUGAAUUCUUUGACAAGGGAGAAGAGAGACACAAAAGAAUUCAGGCGGCUAGUCCUUCGUUCUUUUGGAAAAGGGAGAAGAGAGACACAAAAAGAAUUCAGGCGGUUAGUCCUUGGCGAAUUCUUUUUGGCAAAGGGAGAAGGGAAUGAAAAAGAUGAAUAGCACAAGUUUUCAAGGUUUGGAAAACCAAAAAACUUUUGAAGGCUUUUGAUAAAAGAAGAAGAAGAAGAAGUACAAAGAGAUUCAGAAAUCAAUUGGCAAAAGUUUGUUGUCUAAAGAAUGAAUGUAUGAAUGUCUAAAAUGCAAAUCAAAGCCUUGCUUUUAUAGACUUUUCAAGUCUAGUCAAGAGACCAUUAGAAGAGUUAUAACCUUUAGAAAAACUUAAAAACCAUUUGGAAAAGUUAUAACUUUUAGAAAAACUUGAAAACUAUUGGAAGAGUUACAUCUUUUGAUUUUGUUCAGAAACUAUCACUGGUAAUCGAUUACCAAAUCAAUGUAAUCGAUUACAUAAAGCUUUUUUGUGAAAGGAUGUGACUCUUCACAAUUAAAUUUGAAUUCCAACGUUCAAACACACUGGUAAUCGAUUACCAAAUCAUUGUAAUUGAUUACAACAUUUUGAAAUCAAUUGGAACGUUGUAAAUUCAAUUGAAGGCUUUUUUGAAAACCAUUUUGCUACUGGUAAUCGAUUACAAUAAUCUGGUAAUCGAUUACCAGAGAGUAAAAACUCUUUGGUAAAAGGUUUUUGAGAAAAAUUCAUGUGCUACUCAGUUUUUGAAAAAAUUUUUUAAUACUUAUCUUGAUUGAGUCUUCUCUUGAUUCUUGAAUCUUUAGUCUUGAAUCUUGAUCUUGAUUCUUGGAACUUGAAUCUUGAAACUUGAUUCUUGAUUCUUGAAAUCAAAUUUCCUUUUGAACCUUGAAGUGUUCUUGAUUCAAUCUUGAACUCAUUCUUUGAUUCUUGAGAUCAUCAUCUUUGUUAUCAUGAAGUGUUCUUGACUUUUGAGCUUUUUGUCAUCAUCUUUGUUAUCAUCAAAACUCUUUGAAUCAAUCUUGAUUCAUCAUGAAGCUUGCUUCUACGGUUACCGGAGCGAGGAAGAAGAUGAAGCAACAAAAAUAAGAAAUGCUUAAAUAUAAUUUUAGUCUACCUGCAAUUUUGGUCCUCCUAUAUUCAAAUAAAAACAUUUGGUCAAUUAUUUUAGAAAAAAUCCACAAUUUCUGUAUAUCUUUGAAUUUUGCCUACAUUUAUUUCAUUCUCCUUAACUAAUUAAAACAUUUUUAUGGUACCAUAAAGGAAGACAUUAGGCCCAGGGUUUCAUUGAGGAUUUCUUAAAAUAGAUGAAGUAAAUAUCUUUAUUUUAAAAUAGAUAGACCAAAAUUAUAUAUUCAAACAAAUAGGUGGACCAAAAUUGUAUUUAAACCAAGAAUACGAGUCAUUAACUAAAGAGAAAAAUCAGAAAUUGUUCACUUUCAAUUUUAAAAACUAAAACCAAGAUUAUUUUUUAAAAUAUCCCAAAUUACUUUUAUCAAACAUUUGGUUUGUUAUUUGAAAACAAAAAAUAAAUAUGUACAAUAAACAACAAGCUCUUGUUGUUGUACUACUUUAAACAACAUUUGCUUGAUGAUUUCCUAAAAAUACAGUUAACCAUCAUUAUUGAUAUCUAAUUAAUUAUAAAUAUUAGUUAAUUUGAAAUUUAUGUUUAUAGUGUUUUAAUCUCCUUUUGAAGGCUUUGCUAGAGUUUCUCUAGUUGUGAGCAGUAAGGUUUUUCUCAAAUCUCAAGACAACUGUUCUUGUCUUUUCUCUGGUCUGCCUACUUGAAUUUCACAAAAUGAAGAAUAUGAAAGAUGUUGAUUUCGAGGAGGAGGGGGGAUAGUCAAAAUACCUAAAGUGGGAGAAAGGAGUAAAGAUGAGGGUUUUUGAUUGGUGGGAAAGAUUCAUACGAAAGAAUCUUCCAAUGUGAUGAAGGAGUUCAAAACUACCAUUGCCCAAGCAUUGAAGACGAAAAAAGGGGUGGAGAUAAGGAAUUUGGAGAGAAACCUUUUAGCGUUCAGGUUUCUAUCAGUAAAUGAUAAAGAGGCAGUGAUAAAGGGUUGCCCACAAAAUUUUGAUAGAAAAUUGAUUGUGCUAAAUGAUUUGAUGCGUAAUCAAAACCCUAACUAAGUAGACCUAUCAUGAACUCAACUUUGGGUGCCUGUCUAUGAAAUCCCAUUAGGGUUCUGUACUAAAGAAAUAGAAUAAUCUAUUGGAAACACUUUGGGAUCCUUUAUCAAAUGGGAUCAGUUGGAGGAAUAUCGAGUGGGAAAGUCCAUGAGGGUUAGGAUUUUGAUGGAUAUUACUAAGCCACUCCGAAGAGGAAUGAUGAUGAAAAUAGGAGUUAAGGAGGCAAGGGAGAUUAUUUUCAAAUAUGAAAGGCUUGGUAAUGUUUGCUACAUGUGCAGAUGUCUGGAUCAUCUUCUGAAGGAAUGUGAGGAUGAUGAAGACGUUGAUAUCGAUAACCUUUCGUACGAACCAUGGCUGAGGGCGUCUCAUGUACAUCAAAAUGAGGCUGCAGGAGUCUGAUAUGAAGAACUAUUUGGGAAGGUAAAACGUGUUAUUGUGUAUGAAAAUAAGGUAAAGAAGGGGGGCUAUAGUGGAGAAGGAUGCAAAAGCGAUGGAGGAAAGUGGGUCUGCACGUGAGGAGGAGGCAUAAAUGUGGCAGAUGUAACUAGAAUUUUGAGCCAGUGUCAUCUAUCAUUAGGAGAGGAGGACCAACAUUUUCAAGGGGCACCAAACCCGAGGCAUUCAAGGAGGACGUAGAAGAGACAUAUCGUGAAAAGCAUGAAGUGGAAAAGGAUGAAGAAGGUCAUAGCGAAGUGAGAAGCAGUGGACAUGCCACAACUGCUGUUAUCUGAACCACCACAAAAAAAAAAAAACAAAGUGGAAAAGGAUGGCUCGUGAAGGGGAGACUGUUGUUACCUCUGGAUCGCAUCCAACAGAGAAGAGACACAUUGAUGAUAGGUUGAUGAAGAGGGGGACAAGGAGGGACCAAGGGUCUAUUACAAACAAUCAAAAAAGGAAAUGGUGGGCGUUGCUGACCAGCCCCGCCAAGAAUCUUGAGGACCUUAAGCUGGAACUGCCAUUGGCUUGGAAACCCAUGGGCAGUGAGAGCUCUUCGUAAGCUCUUAUACAUUGAAGUUUCCACCAUAGCUUUCUUGAUGGAAACAAGGAAAAAAUACUGCAGAAUACAUUUUUUAAAGGGUAUGACAAGGUUGGAAAAUUUCCAUGGUGUUGAUUGUGAGGAAUUAUGGAUCUAGAGGUUUGGCCAUCAUGUGGUAGAAGGGUACUGAAGUAGAGCUGAAAUGCUGGUCCCCUAAUCAUAUCAUAGUUAGGGUCAAUGGCCAGGACAAUUCAGAAGCUUAUACAACCACGUUUUUGUAUGGAUUCCCAGAAUAAAACAAGAAGCAUCAAAUGUGGGAUAUUAUGAAGAUUCAGAAACCUCAUGAUGAUAGCCCUUGGAUAUGUGUGGGGGAUAUGAACCAAAUCUUUCAUGUUGAUGAGAAGAAGGGGGAAAUGCUCCAAAUAUUCAAAGUAUUCAACAAUUUCAAGAUACGGUGGAUUAUUGUGGUUUGGUGGAGCUGCAAGUGGAGGGCCAAUACUUUACAUGGACAAACCAGAGAUAGGGGGAUGAUUUAAGAGAAGAAAAGCUUGAUAGGAUUUUGGUUAACCGUUCUAGGAAUGAUAACUAGAGGGAUAGUUGGGCAUCGUCGGUAGUACGCUUCAUCUCAAACCUUAAUCCUAUUAUUCUGCAUGCAUCAAAAUCGAAAUUUGAUAUAGGUUUGAAGCAUUUUGGCUUGAUGAUGUGGAGGAUGGUGAGGAGGCAAUAAAUGGGAUCUAGAGAAGAAGGAGUGAUGUUACACAAAAUAUUACCCAGCUAGGGGCAAAUUUAGAUGAGUGUGGGUCACAAAGGUUUGGAAAUUUGUCUCAAAAAAUCAAAAGGUUUUGAAAGAAACUGUAUAAGAUUCAACGCAGCCCUUGGGUCAGUUUCUUAACAAACACAAAAGUUGAGAUUGAAGGUGAGUUGGAGGGGCUUUUAAGGCUUGAGGAGGUCCUUUGGAGGCAGAGGUUGAAGGUGGAGUGGUUGAUGUAUGUGGAUAGGAACACAACUUUCUUUAAUAGAAAAAUAUCCCACCGAAAGCAAGUCAAUACCAUAAAGAAGAUUCAAGAUGAUGAUGGAAAUGUGUAUAGGAAUGUAGAGGACAUUGGUGAGGUAUUAACAAAGUAUUUCUCUGAUCUUUUUACCUCAUCUCCACCUCUCAUGACAUGACAGAAAUUGCAAGCCUUGUGGAGGGGAGAAAUUAUGGAGAGAUGUGAUCCUUUGUGGAUGUGGAGUUUUCAAGAGUAGAUGCACCCCACCAAAGCUCCUGGGGAAGAUGGCAAUCUAGCUUUAUUCUAUCAGAAGUUUUGGCAUAUAUUAUUAGAGAGGACGUCACAAACAUGGCCCUGAAUAUUUUGAAUGGUGAUCGACCAAAAGGUGAAAAAUCCCUCUCAUGGUGUUUAGAGAAGGAGGAAACAACGAUUCAUGCUUUGAUUGGCUGUGAGGGUGUCAAGAGAAUAUUGUUUGCAUCAAAUGUGGGGGUAUAUCCAAGCUCUUCCAUUUCAAAUUUUGAGGCUUGGAUGAGUGAAAUUAUAGCUUUAAGCAACCCAGACUUCACAGCAAGGGUCUUAGAAUUGAUUUGGGUAAUGUGGAAGAGAAGAACCCUCUAGGUUUUCUCAUAGAAGGAAUUGUAGCCAAGGCAAGUUAUAGAUAUAACGGUCUCGUUGGCAUAACAUAAAAAAUAGAUGCAUAGCAGGCAACAAAACCAGAACAUCAGUUGGAAUCCUACCACAGGAAAUCAGACCAAGGUAAAUUUUAAUGCAUCUAUAAGAUUAGGAGUUAGUACAGGUUUGGGAGCUGUGUUCAGGGACAAUGCUAGUAACCAUUUGGCUUCAGCCUGCCUCUUUAUUCCGUAUUGCUACGAUCCUCUUAUUGAAGUAGUGAUAACAUUCAAGUGGGAUAUUAAGACGCUGGGGCACAUGUGUUUUUCAAACACCACAUUUGAGACUAAUAGUU
rnacentral:lncRNA from 1 species